AGUAUAAUGGUGAGGUGAGUUAUGUCCAAUAAACUAAUAAUUGUUUAAAAUGUCUCCUCUCUAUUGUAUAUAAAAAAAACUGGUCACAGAAAUUCAAACUUUUGUACAAAGCCAGCCAAGUUACUCUCUCUCCGUUCUCCACCUCGAGAACUACCCCCCCACUUUCAAACACAUGAAAGAACUCUCCUCCUUCCUCUUCAUCAUCUUCUCCUUUGUUCUGCAGCUUCUCGUUGCAUGAAACCAAAAUCAUGAUCUCAUGAAGCCUUAGAAAGACUGGCAUUAGCAAAAACAAAACAGAAAAAAAAAAAUGGUGGUUGCAUUUCUUAAAGUUGUUUCCUUUCUAUUCUUCUUUACUUCCCUGGUUUCCUCUCUAAACUCAGAUGGUCUCUCUCUUCUUGCUCUCAGGGCAGCCAUAGAAUCUGAUCCUACUAGUUCCCUUGAUAAAUGGUCUGAGUCUGACUCAACCCCAUGCCAUUGGCCUGGAAUCGCCUGCACCCGCAACAGAGUCACCUCAAUAUUUCUUCCCAACAAAGAGUUAACCGGUUACAUCCCAUCAGAACUCGGUCUUCUCGACACGCUAACUCGCCUGAGUCUCUCUCAAAACAACUUCUCAAAACCAAUUCCUUCUCGUCUCUUCAACGCUACAAACCUUGUCUACAUUGACCUUUCCCAUAACUCACUCUCUGGCUCAGUUCCUCCACAAAUAAAAUCCCUCGAAAACUUAACGCACCUCGAUCUUUCCUCCAACUCACUCAACGGGUCACUCCCUGAGUCACUUGUUGAGCUCAAGAGCUUGACAGGAACCCUAAACUUGUCUUGCAACAAGUUUUCAGGUGAAAUUCCAGCUUCUUAUGGAGAGUUUCCAGUGAUGAUAAGCUUGGAUCUAAGGCACAAUAAUUUAACAGGGAAAGUGCCUCAAGUUGGUUCUUUGUUAAAUCAAGGGCCCACCGCAUUUUCAGGAAACCCUAAUCUUUGUGGGUUUCCGUUGGGGAAUCUUUGCCCGGAAGCUCAAAACCCGAGAGCUUUUGUAAACCCUGAAGAAAAUCCUGAAAAUCCCAAUGGUUUUAGGCCCACCUUUGAUGAUGGGAAUGGAGAGAAACGGAAGGAGAAAAAUGUGUCAGUGGCUGUUCCCUUGAUCUCAGGCGUUUCGGUGGUGAUCGGGGCGGUUUCGAUAUUUGUGUGGCUGUUUCGGAGAAAAUGGAAGCCUGAGGAGGAUAAAAUGGGGAAAGAGAAAAAGGGGGAGGCGGUUGAUGAGGAAGGGCAAAAGGGUAAAUUCGUGGUGGUUGAUGAGGGGUUUAAUUUGGAAUUAGAGGACUUGUUAAGGGCAUCUGCGUAUGUAGCGGGGAAGAGUAGGAGCGGGAUAGUGUACAAAGUGGUGGCUGGGAGGGGAUCUGGUACGGUGGGGAGUACGAUUGUUGCAGUGAGGAGGUUGGGCGAGGGUGAUACCACAUGGAAGUUUAAGGAGUUUGAGGCUGAAGUAGAGGCUAUGGGGAGGGUUAACCAUCCCAAUGUUGUCAGGUUGAGAGCUUAUUAUUAUGCCAAUGAUGAGAAGUUGCUGGUUACUGAUUUCGUCCGUAACGGAAGCUUGUAUGCAGUAUUACAUGGUAACAUUCCUCUCCUUGCAUUGUUUUUCUUGCAAUUGUCGUGCACUCUUGAAGUAGUUAGUGGCAUUUUUUGACCCUAAUUUGAAUGAUGGCAGUAUUGGACAUUGAUUUGAUGGGUCCCUUCCUCACUAACUAUGUUUUUUGUCAUAAAACAUAAGUCAAUCUUUUUGGAACUUACUUUGAACUUCAAUCCUGCUUAUGUUUUGCGAUGACUUUACUUGCUGAUACUUCCUUGUUAGCCCUGUGGAUUUGGCUCUUAUUUGUAGAUUCAAUUGCUGUUCCUUAGUAGUUUAUAAUCGUAGAAAGAAGAUAACUAUGAGUGCUUCAGUUUCAAUUUUCUGCUCACCAUUUAUCUAGAUGGAAAGAAAACCCCACAACUAUUAUCACAUUAAAAUACUGAUAGGAGUUUUCAUGUAUGAUAAUGCUUUUGAGAUAUUUUGUUUAUGUAAUUUCCACCGAGUACACAGAAUUCUUGGUUUCCAAUUAUAGUGCUUAAGGCAUUUACUUGGUUGAAAUCUGUUUAUCAUUGGCUUAGUUUCAUCUUCCCAUCAUGAUUCAUGAGUUUCUGUAUUUUGCAUCGAGGAUUAUUAGCAUAAACAGUCAUUAUUUUAUCAGCCUACUGGCCUUGCUAAUGCCUUACAAGUCUCACAAUCUAUCUUUUUCAAGACAGCUUGUGUCUUGUAGAAUGAUUGCAAAAAAUUACUGUGACAGCUAAACUAAAGGAGACUCGAGUUGUUUUCAAGCACCUAAAUUCUUGAGCUAUUUAACAGUUUGGUGGGGUUUUGCUCCGCUUUUGCUAGAAAUUUUGUUGGUCAUUCUUGAAAUUUCCUGAAUUUAUUUUCAGUACUAAGAUGAACAAGAGAAAAGGACCGAACAUUAUGAUAAUUCCAUGAAAGCUUUAGUGCUUUACCUACUUCAAUGAUAGGUAGGUGAUAUUCAUUGUCACAGGCGUUUUCUUUUCUAACUUUUUCCAGUUGAGGGUGUAAUCUGAAAACUGAUUGGUGACAAUCUGGGUGUUACCCAUUCCUAACCUAUACACACCCAAUUAGAUAAUAAAAAUAUAGAUCCGAUUUUGACCUUCUGGUGUUACUCAUUUCGAAUGACUUUUUGGGUCUUUUUAGAGAGUUUGUCCUCAUUGGCCCUAUAUUAACUCAGCCUUGGUUCACCUGUGACAUAUUUCUCUUGGUUUUUUCUUCCAGUAUAGAUUUAUGUCUUGCUUGUCUUCUAUUGGUGUCAUUCAAGGACAAAUACGCAUAUUAUGUUUUUUUUAAGUUUAGAACAUUUAUUCUGAAUAUAGUGGUCCAGCUGGUGUGCUGCUCAUACACAUUGAAGGACCAAAAUUUACUGAACAGACCCCAUCAAGAUGGCUGACAAGUGCAUGAUUUUUUAUGCUUUGGAUUUUUAGUUGAUGAAAUUUAACAAAAGGUGGACCACUGACACAAUAAUUGCCUUGUUAUUAUCAUCUCAAGUGCAUUCAUAUGUCAAUUGCAUUUGCAUCUAUCACGUUUUACUCAAAGAAAUUCCCGUGAAAGUUCCAUUCUUCAGCAGAUAGUUUGGUGUAACUCUGCAAGCAGUUUGCAUGUGACCUGGUUCAUGUAUGAUAAGUGAAAGGAAAAUGAAAGAGAUAAAUGAAAAAUGCUCUUUUUUUCUUAUUUUCAUCCAACAAGUGAUUCCAGUUUGUUUUUUGUUUGAUUAUGGUAGAAUGUCUGAUAGCAUAAGAACUGAAACAGCCAUUUUAAUGUGGUGUUCAAUCAUGCAGAAGGGCCAUCCAAUAAUUUGCCACCACUUCCGUGGGCUGCGAGGUUGAAAAUUGUUCAGGGGACUGCAAGGGGUUUAAUGUACAUACAUGAAUACAGCCCUCGAAAAUAUGUUCAUGGCAACUUAAAGUCAACAAAAAUCCUUCUUGACAAUGAACUCCAGCCUUACAUCUCUGGGUUUGGACUCACUCGUCUUGUCUCUGGGACCUUCAAAUAUGCCGGUUCAAUAACCAAAAAGCUGAACCCAAACCAAACCAUUGCAACCUCUGCAAUGGGAUCAAGAAUUUCAACUCCUAAUUCUUACCUGGCACCUGAGGCUCGAGUAUUUGGAAGCAAGUUCACUCAGAAAUGUGAUGUCUACUCUUUUGGAAUUGUGCUAUUGGAGAUUUUAACAGGGCGGCUGCCUGAUGCUGGACCCGAAAAUGAGGACAAGGGAUUGGAAGGUCUUGUGAGGAAAGCAUUCCGAGAGGAGCGUCCCUUGUCUGAAAUCAUAGACCCAACACUACUAACGGAAGUUUAUGCCAAGAAGCAAGUGGUUGCGGCAUUUCACAUUGCUCUCAAUUGCACAGAACUGGAUCCAGAGCUGCGCCCUAGGAUGAGAAUUGUGUCUGAGAGUCUUGAUCGGAUUAAAUCGCGGUGAAAAAAAUGUUGGGAAGAAUGUUGUAAAGUUGUAUCAUUGUUGCUAACCCCUGGCUCCUGAAGCUGUUUUGGUUUUUGAUUCCUUGGAUGCAGGGUCAAUUCGGUGUAUGACUCGUCAGGUUAUUGUUGUAAUCAGAUGAGUUUUCUUUGAAUGUUUUGAUCUGUCCAUCUCUUGAAUGUCGUCGUGUGUAGAAAAGAUUCGAUAAUGUCCAAAAGUUGCAGGGAUGGGAGGGACAUGGUUAGCCGUUUGUACAAAUGACAAAGACAAUCAGCUAGAACAGGGCAAAUAGUUAGGAAAUCCUCAAGCACAACGACCUCUCAUGUCUCUGAUUCCUAAUGCAUUGAUAUCAGUAUCAAAAGCCCACAUACCAGGCAAAUGAUCAAUUUUAUUCAAAAAUACGUGAAUGAAACAUCAAGCCCAGCAUCGAAUCUGCCAUAAUCAGUAUCUUCCUAGUAACCUAAAGCCAAGUUGAUGCUAUGCUGCAUAUCAUCUACGUAGCCAUACGAAUUAGCCAGCCCACUGACAUUCUGCUUUAAUGACAGCAAAGAAGGGAAUUCUUGGAUUCUUUACUUUCUCGCUGUCAAAUGCUACAUGGAGUUGAAAAUUCCAGGUUAAUCUACAAUCCAAUCCCAUAGUUGCUACUUGUUUCAUUUAAAUCUCCGACAAGCUGCCCGUUCAAUCCUCUAACCACCAUCACCACUGUAGAGUACUCCCACAAUAAGAUUCAUGUCAAAUUUUUAUUCCUCUAUUAAUUUUUGCAUCUGAGCAUUCGGCUAGAAUGUAGGUGUACACAUCUAUUUGAACUAUAUUUUCUUUUUAAAAGAUUUUAAUAUAUUUUUACAUUAUUACAAUAUAUUCUUUUGUACAUGUAUAGGCAAACACUCUCUCUACAUAAAUUUUGUUUCUAUUCAAUAUAAAGCAGAAAAAUUUAGAUCCACUUAUAUUUUUUAGAGUUUACAUUUGAUGCACUGACAAUUUAUAUUUUUUAUACACUAAUGAUGCUACGUCAUUAUAAAAAUAAAUUUAAAAUUGGAAAAAAUUUAAAACUAAAUAUUGAUAUUUUUAAAAAAUUGCAUAAAACAUAAAUACAAAUUUCUUUUUUUUCUCUCUCUCUUUAACUCCCUUCCAACUAUGUUUUUUUUUUUUUUUUCUCUAUCCAACUCCAUUUUCUUCUUCCAUUAAGAAGAGAUUUGACAAAAUUGUGUAAUUUCAAAAACACUAAGAUAGUCAAGAUUUCAAAGUAAUUUUUAUUUGUUGGUUCCAGUGAUAUAUUUUUCAAAUGAUUUUUACAUUAAACUUAGGAUUACAGUAUGAUAUUAUUGUCUCCUUUCCAACAAUGUGAUAUAAUUCUCUCCUUCCCAACUAGAAGCUUUCAUAUUGAAAUUCCAGAUUUUAAUCAUCCAGAAUUCUCUUAUAAUUCUUAUACAUUUGAAAUCCAGUAAUUCCCACUGGAAAGAUGUAUUAUCAAUGCAUGGUUAAACAAUGAAGGAAAGUUGCUUCUUACCCGUUGUCCUGCAAUGGACAUUUGAUGUAAUUGUUUUUUAAAAUACUAAUAUUUAAUUUUAAGUCUUUAAAAGUUUUAAUUUUAUUUUUAUAAUGGCGUGACAUCAUUUGAUGGAUUUAAAUGACUCUUAUAAUAUGGCUCAAAGUCAAAUUCUUUUGAUGGAUCUAUUUCCCGCGUGACUCGUGACCCGUAUUUUUAGAUUUCAAGCUGACCUCCCCUCCCUUCAAAAAAUUUUAAAGAGAGGAUUCAUGUUGUUGCUCAUUUAAUUAAUCAUACUCCCACCGAAGCUUUACAUGGUCAAUCCCCACAUGAGAUUCUGUUGCAUAAAACAAUUCAUCAUCGUAUUUUUGGUUGCUUAUGUUAUGGACGUAAUAUCAAGAUUAAACACAAAUUUAAUCAACGUGUCAACCCUAGUAUGUUUAUUGGUUACCCCUUUGCUUAACAAUACUAUAUAUAAAAUUUAUGAUCCUAAUGGCAAAAAGGCUUAUGUUAAUGGGGAUAUAAACUUUUCAUCAUCAAGACAUCUUUUCCUUUUAUCUUCCCCUGAUCUUGACUUCUCUUACCCUAAACAAUACCAACCUCCAACCUUAUUGCAAGCAUCACCCUCGGACACAAUUGUCCCAUCAGCAUCCGUUUCCAAUGACAACAUUAACACUACAACCCCAACACCUCAAUCACUUACUUUUCCUCAAUAUCUUUUUCCUUGCCGAUCUCAACGACAACACCACCAGCCUUCCCACUUACAAGACAAUCAGUGCUCUAUUGCCAUGUCGGCGCCAUCUUCUUUGCCAUUAUGCUAUUGCCAUGUCUUCUCCAUCUUCUUCGCUAAUGCCUAGAGGUACUCUUUUUCCUCUUUCUUAGUUCUUUAUCUGUUGCCCAUUAACUGCACACAGUUUCAGUCAAGCAAUUAAGUUUCCCAAUUGGAGAGAUGCCACGCAUGAGGAGGUCAAAACUCUUGAGGCUAAAUAUCAAACAUGCUGUUUCGUUCCUUUUCCUACUGGUAGGAAAACUAUUAGUGCUAAAUGGGUCUUUAAAAUUAAGAGACACUCUGAUGAUACCAUAGAACGAUAUAAAGCCCGUUUGGUUACUUAAAGACUAUAGCCAAAUGUGAAGGUGUGGAUUAUCAUGAUACUUUUACUCCUAUAGCAACUAUUUGUGUGCUACUCACUGUUGUUGUUGUUGCAUGUCAUUGGCCUCUUCAUCAGUUAGACAUUCAAAAUGCAUUUCUUCAUGGUAAUUUAAAUGAAGAAGUUUAUAUGCAAUUACCUCUUGGGUAUUGACGUAGAAGGGAGAAUCUUCACAAGUCUUUAUAUAUAUGGACUUAAGCCAGUAUCUAGGAAAUGGUUUGCCAAGUUCUCUGCUACUCUUCUAAAUAUUAUUUAUGUCUCAUCCCAUGCUAUUGACUCAUUAUUCUACGAGUAUCAAGGUACAUCUUCUAUAUUUGUGGUUCUAUACUAUGGGAGUGUGUAAUUUUUCUUCCUACAUCAAAUGUAUGCCGUUGUGUCAAAUGUUAAUAGAUCUAUCAGAAGAGACAUAUUUACUCGUGUAGCAGCGAUUUGUUACUUGGCAACUGAACUCAAGGUUGCCAAAUGUGCAUGAAACGCACUUGGGAACUUAUCGUACAAUCUAAUCAGAGCAAGUCUAGCUUUAAUGCUUCAAUUAUGGAUGAAGACAAGCAAUGGGGGUUAGAGGAACUUGUAAGACAAAAAGAAGUGUGACAGGCAUCGAACGUGCUCCAUCCAAUAGGACCACUUCAAUGAUUGAAUUAGCAAGAACAACCAAAAAGAAAUGUUUAAGAGCUGCGAUGUCGUAGAGUGGGUGCUUGGUACCAAGGGUCGAAUGACUUAUUUUCAUUGUCCCCAUUCCUUGGUGUCAGAGACUGUCGCCAAUAAUUGACAGAGAUCAUCGGGGUACACUUCCUAGUGCUCUCUUCAUCUAUAGAUAUGAAUUGUCCAAAAUAAGGAAAGGAACGUAUGGCUAUGGAGGGCCUAAAGUUGUUGGUGAUUGAAGGAUUUUGUGGCAAAGAUUGAAGUGGUAGCAAAAUUGGAGAGACUUUGCACCUAAGCAUUAUUUCGGAUUUGGAGAUCCAAAGUUAUCCAAGUAUGAAGAAUGGAUACUGCAGUAGUACUUUGGUAAUCCAAAUGAAGAGCCAUAAAACCUAAACAGCACUUUCAUCAUCACCAAAACCAAAAGGCCCAUUGACUAAGCACAUCAUGAUAGUUUAAUGUUGUUCUAAUAUAAUAUAAAAGUUUCUCUUUCAAACUUUUAUGGUACAAUAAAUACUAAUUUUAAGCAUUAUUUUUAAAGAAAUAUUCUAAUGAUUAUGAAUUUAAGAUUUCAAUUUAAAAUUCUUCGAAUUUGAAUUUAAAAAAAAAUGAAAGAGUGAGAUUUAUAAGAUAAGAAACAGUUACCUCUUUCAUUAUAUUAUAAAAAUCAUAAAUUUUUGCGAUAAAAUUAUUUAUGUUUUUAAACAAGAGGAGGUUGAUACAUAGUUAGUCAUCCUUGCAGAUCCUAACAAAAAGUUGUAGUCCUCUUAUACGUUUUAAUUGCUCUCAAUAUUUAGAAUGUUUACAAGUUGUUUUUUUUUUUUCUCUCCUUUUCAAUGAAUUAACUUAUUAACUCAAAGGCACAUUUUCAAUACUUGGACCCAAAUUACACUUGUAGAGGUAAUUACUUCAACUAUUAAAUUAUAAGCGUUUUUUCAAAACGCCUACUAUUAAACAAUUCGAGCAAGAAACAAUUAGAGUUGCCUUUGAGUUAGGUGUGCAAUUCCCUGAAUCCAUCUGAAAUAAGUACAACCCAAUAAUCUUUGAAUACAUAAAUAAUGUAUUAUUAUUCAUAUAUGUAAUUUAAAAAUAAAAUUUUAAUACUGUUAUUUUACUAUAAUACUAUUACAAAAGACAAUUUAAACUCUAUGAACUUUCAGAUAUGCCAAAAUAAGUAAUAAAAUAUACUACAUUAAGUUCACAUUUAUGGGUAUGCCAAAGCAAGCUUUCUAAUGUCGAAGACUAAAGACAGCCAUCUAAGCCUAAUCUGAAGACGAUUGUAAAUGUCAAAAAAAAAAAACAAAGGAAAUUAAAAUUAGUACAAACUUAUUCUGAAAAGGCUAAAAAAACACUACCCUAAACUUAAAAAUUAAAAAAAAAAUGUGAAAGUGUAAUUUAUAUGAUUCCAACAUAAUGCUUGUGAAGAUGUAUUAGAUUAAUACGCUCAAUAUGGAUAAAUCCAAGAUGAGGUGAAUUAGGUUAUUUUGAAAUUUUUGAAAAACCUUUUUAAAUUUUUAACAAGGUAAAAUCUCCUUUUUAAUUCAAGUGCUCAAUUUGAAGAUAAACAAAGUAAUUGACCUCUUAAUCAAUAAGAAAAAAUUAAAUUUCAAGUAAAAGUAAGAGUUAAAAAAUCGACACGAGUAUUUUAUAAAUGUUCGACCUAUUUGCUUAUGUUCUCUCCUUUAGAUUCACUAAGGAGUUUAAAAUCCACUAUUUGAUCAAAGUUCAAUACAAUGCCUUUUAUGGAUCAAGCAUAACCUUUCAAUACAAUGUUUUUUUAUGGUUAAAGCACAACCAUUUUACCUUUUCUAUUGGUUAAGACAUAACCAUUUAAGCAAGUACAAUAAGAGGAAUAUAAGUGCAGCUAAUAUGCCUCUUAAAGGUUGAAUAGAGAAUUUGGUACAAUGUUUAAUGAAAAUGUGAGAACUCAAUAAAUGCUGAGCUAUAAGACUUUAAGGAUUCAAGAAGAGUACAAUGAGUUUAGAAUGAGUUUUGGUUGAUUCUUCUCUCUUGAGCUAUGUUUUAAAGUCUUUCAACCUUCGUAAAUGCUGAGGAGGCUUGUGUUUAUAGUUGUUGAAGCUUCACAUGAAAGUAGCCGUUCUUUUCUUCAUUCAAGGCUCCAAUGGUCAUAUUAUAUCGAUACAUAUGUGGAUGUAUCGAUACAUUCCUUUUUAUUUUUGAAUUAUGUUGAGAUGUAUCGAUACAUUUGUAUAUGUAUCGAUACAUUUGAACUUUUCUGCAAAGGUUUUGAUAUUUUACUUAAAAUUUAUUGAUACAUUUAUUCAUGUAUCAAUACUUUUGACGCAGUGGUUUUCUAUUGCAUUUCUAUUGAUAUAUUUGUCAAUGUAUUGAUAGAAUGAGUUUGACUUUUUAGUUUUUGACUUUCUUCAAGAACAUGUAUCGAUAGACUUUGAAAUCUAUCGAUACUUGUCCAAAACCAUCGAUACAUGAAGAAUAUGUAUUGAUAGAUUUGGACUAGAAUGCGUUUUUCAAAGCCUUUUUCAUUGUUUUUCUUUUUCAAACUCAUUAGACAUCAUUUGGAGAUUUAAGAACUUGACAUUCGAAGACUUGGAUGAAUUUUGAUCAUUUCAAAACAUAAAAUUAAUUUGAAUACUAUUGAGCUAACAAUCUCCUCCUUUUUCAUAUAACAAAAGCAAUGAACAAAAUUUGUUAAAAGAAAUCGAUUUUCUUGACUUUUGAAGAUCUAAGGAUUAUUUGUAAUUUUGAUUACCUUUAUAGUUUUUUCUCAUAAACUUGCUAAACCUCUUGGCUAGUAUGGCUAUGUCCUCAUCUUCUUCAUUCUCAUCUCUUAUGUUUCUCUCAUCUUCUUCAAUUUUAGACUUUAGAGCUAUUUUUGUUAUUGGCCUUCUUCUUUUCAUCAUCUAAAGUAUUCUCAUGUUUUAUUGUUAUCUCAUAGGUAAGUAGAGAUUUUAUAAGUUCCUUUAGUUUGAAAUCAUUUAGAUUUCUUGCUUCAUCUAUGGCUGUCACUUUUGGUCUCCAUGACUUGAAAAGAUUAUAAAGUAUCUUUUUGACUAAUAGAGCAUUUGGGAAGUCUUUUCCUAAGGCUUUCAAUCUUGCAACUAUGUUUGUGAAUCUCUCAUACAUUUGAUUUAUGGUCUCAUUUUCUUUCAUCCUAAAUAGCUCGUAAUCAUGUGUGUAAAGUCCUAUCUUGGUACAGUGUUUUUAAGCUGUGUUUUGAAUGAGUUUUGGUUGAUUCUUUCAUCCUAAAUAGCUCGUAAUCAUGUGUGUGAAGAGUAUAAUGAGUUUUGAAUGAGUUUUGGCUGAUUAUUCUCUCUUGAGCUGUGUUUUUAAGUCUUCCAACCUUCAUAAAUGCUGAGGAGGCUUGUAUUUAUAGUUAUUAAAGCUUCAAAGGUAGUUGAGAGUGCAUUUAAUGUGAAAGUAGCCAUUCUUUUCUCCAUUCAAGGCUCCAACGGUUAUAUUGUAUCGAUACAUAUGUGAAUGAAUCGAUACAUUCAUUUUUAUUUUUGAAAUUUCGCUGAGAUGUAUCGAUACAUUUGUAUAUGUAUUAAUACAUUUGAACUUUCCUACAAGGGUUUUGACAUUCUGCUUAAAAUGUAUCGAUACAUUUAUUCAUGUAUCGAUACUUUUAAGGCAGUGGGCAAUCUGCUACAUUUCUAUCAAUAAAUGUAUCGAUAGAAUGAGUUGGACUUUUUAGUUUUUGACUUUUUUCAAGAACAUGUAUCGAUAGACUUUGACAUAUAUCGAUACUUGUCCAAAUGAAUCAAUACAUGAAAAACAUAUAUCGAUAGAUUUAGAUCAAAAUGCAUUUUUUAAAGCCUUUUUCAUUAUUUUUCUUUUUCAGACUCAUUUGACAUCAUUUGGAGAUUGGAGAACUUGACAUUCGAAGACUUGGAUGAAUUUUGAUAAUUUCUUUUUGUCAUUUCAAAAUAUAAAAUUGAUUUGAAUUCUAUUGAGCUAACAACAUGUUUGAAAUAAUUUAUAUAAAUGGAAAGAAAUAGAUACCAAAUCAAAUUCCACCUUCUCUCUUAACAUUUUGAUUUAUUAUAAAAUAGAAUAAAUAAUAGAUAAAUAUUCACGUGUAAUUCCACUAAACAAAAACAAUAGAUGAGGAUGUACUCAAAUUUACUUACGUAUUAAAAUAAGUUUGUGGUGAAUAAAACAAUUAGGAUAGAAAACAUGAGAAGAUCCUAAAAAGAAGGAGAAAAUGAAAGAGGCAAGUGGGCAUUGGAGUGUGGUUGAAUUGGUGCCCAGGUAUCUCUCUCUCAAAAGUAGAAAAAGGAGAGUUGAAGCCAAAGACCAUAAAACCAAGAGAUAUUUGCUUAAAUUAGAACAACUUUUUAUAAUCCUGUUUGGGAGAUAUAAAGCCCCAAAAGUAGAAACGAGUCUAGUCUUUUAGAAUUGGCAUUGAAGCAAAUGCCAUCUCACGUGUCUUUGUUUCCCUCCACUCAAACACUACCCUUUUACUUAACUUUAAUGGGGGGCCUUCCUUCAAUGUCCCCCCGAGCUUUGUUCUUUUUUUUUUUUUUUUUUUUGCUUUAUAACGCAACUGGGGACCACAUUGAACUCAUUCUCAUUUUCUUAAUGACGCUUAGAUCAGAUUCUAAGAUUAUUCAAGUGAUGCAAUUACUUCAUUUACAUUCUCAUUAAGUUUUACUCUUUUUUAUUUUUUGACCCUUUAUUAGGAGAUCGUUUAAAAAAUGUUAGCUCUCUCCUAAUCUCGUUUUUUCUUUAAAAGGAGAAAUAACCAUAGGAUAAUAAGCUAAUGCUAACAUCCUUUGACAUAUUAACAGCAGGUUUGGAGGUGCCACACAUUUUGGUGGAAGCCUUUCCUCAUCGUACUUGUUACAAAUCUUAUAUUAGUAAAAAAUGAAAUGGGUCUUGAAAAUAUAAAAAUAAAUUUUUUAUUAUUUAUCAGACAUAUUUUUUGAGUUGAAAAUAUAGACCUCAUGAUUUAUAAGUUUACUUAAACUAUAAUUUUAAAAUUUAAAGUCGUACAAAUUAGACUUAAGUUUCGGCCCAUAAUAGUACUCCCCUCCCUAAAUGAGUCUAAUGCCACUGCAAUUACGAGUGUUUUCGACCCGUGACAAUACUACCCUCCCUAAAUGGGUUUAAUGCCACUACAAUUACAUAAUAUUUGAUAGGAGAAAAAUAAGAGUACAUUUCCUAUAAUAUACCUAAUUAAAUUACAUUACACUGUUUGUUUUAUAACAAACCACAAUAAUAAAAAAUUACAAUGCAAUCACAUUACAACUAAUGGAUCUAAUGUGAUUGCAAUCCAAAACUAAUGUACUUAGAUUGCAUUGCACUCUAUAAUAUUAUUAAAAAUAUUUUUACUUUUUAAAUUUGUUACUUUGUUAAAAAUAUUUUGCAAUAUUAUAUUUGUUUUUAUAUAUAUAGAUUUUAAGGGAUGUCUUUUUAUUAUUCUCAUUAGUCUAUGACUAUCAAAAAAAUUUAUAUUAUCUUUUAAAAAAAUUAAAAUAAAACAUAUAAUAUAAAAAAUUGUAUUAAGAAAUGAAAAUAAAAUAUAAAAAAUUAUAAUAAAAAUAAAAAUAAAAUAUAUGACAUUAAAAAUAUAUUUAAGAGAUGAUAUUAUAUAAAAAUUAAUAAUAAGAAAAUACAAGUAUAUUAAACUUAUAUUUUAAUAAAUAAAGGUAAUUUUAAAAAUUAAUAUUAUAUUUUCAAUAAAGUACUUGUAAACAAAACAUUGUAAUAUUACCUUGUUUGUAUUUUAAUCAUUACUUUGCUUAUAUACCAAACACUAUAAUAUUAUCUUCCCUACAAUUACAUGGCUUAUAAUCACGUUACUUGCAAUCACAUUAAGGUAGUGUUUGAUACUUUACAAUGUAAUGUGAUUAGAAAUAAUGUGAUUGCAAGUAAUAUGAUUGUAGGGAACAUAACAUUGUAGUAUUUGAUAUAUAAGCAAAGCAAUGAUUAAAAUGCAUAGAAGAUAACAUUGCAACGUUUGGUUUACAAGUACUUUAUUAGGAAUAUAAUAUCAAUUUUCAAAAUUAUCUCUAUUUAUUAAAAUGCAAGUUUAAUAUACUUGUAUUUUUUAUUGUUAAUUUUUAUAUAAUAUCAUCUUUUAAAUAUAUUGUAAAUAUCAUAUAUUUUAUUUUUAUUAUAAUUUUGUAUAUUUUAUUUUCAUUUUUUAAUAUAAUAUUUUAUAUUUUAUUUUAAUUUUUUUAAAAGAUAAAAUAAAUUUUAUUUACAAUCACCAUGACUACUAAGAAUAAUAAAAAAGCCAUCCUCAAAAUCUAUAUAAAGAAAAUAAAUUAUAACAUUAUAAAAUAUUUUUAACAAAAUAACAAAGUUAAAGAGUAAAAAUGUCUUUGAAAUAUUGUAAAGUGUACUGCAAUCUGAUUGCGUUAGUUUUAGAUUACAAUUACAUUACAUCCAUUGACUAUAAUGUGAUGGUAUUGUAAUUUUACAUUGCAAUGGUUUGUUGCAAAACAAAUACUGCACACCUAUAAUCAUGUUGCAUUAUAAAGUACUAAACGUCACAUUCACUUUAAUUUAUUUUCUAUAGAGAUGAGAAAUUGUUAAUUUUUUCAUUUGUUUAAUCAUAAUAAAUUUGAAAAACAAAAAAUGAAAGAAAUUCUCUUGCAAUUUCUCUAGUAACUCCUAUCUUUUGUAAACAAAAAUUUUGAUUUUUUUUUUCAGAAUACAAUUAAAAUAAUGUAAUGACGUACAAACACAUAUGUACAAUGAACAUACAAAAUUAAGUAAUUUACUAAUUCAAUGAUUAUACUUUAAAGUUUUACAUUAUAACCAAACUUUGUAGUUCAUAUAAGAUCUUUUUUGUUUUCUAAAUUUCUAUCAUACUUAGAUGCUUCCCUUACCCUUUCUUUUUUCCAUCCAAAAUUCUAAUUUUCUUCGGGGAUUCUUGCAUUUAAGAAAGCAAAAAAAAUCUUUCUCACACCUUUGACCUUCAAAUUUUAAGCAAAGACAAUUAGGCACCUCUAAAGAAGAUUAAGAUCUAUCACUCCCCAUUAAUGUCCAAAGUAGUUGUAAUUGAUGUUUUAAUACUAUAAGAAAUAUAUAAAAAGAAUACUGGACUUUUGUCUGAUUUUAUUUUAUUAUUUUACUCUGAAAAGAUAUUAUUUUGUCCAUCCACCUAUAUACAGUUGUGGAACAAGCAUAAAGGCAUGAAGGAUUGACCAAUCACAUGCACAAUAAUAAAGAAAUAUUUUUAUAUAUAAAUAUAUAUAAAAUAGGAUCCAACAUCCAUGUCUAAUACAACUGAAAUAAAAUUUUUAUGCUUUUUACCCUCUUCUUGGUCAAAAAAUACUUUGAUUCUAGAUUAUAUACCAAAGUACCUAUCUAUUAAACACAUGGUAGAUGAAUCUCUGGCCAUUUAAGUGUUUUAACUUCCUAGUUUAAGCUGAAAGUUGCCUUCUUUUUUUUUUUCUUUUUUGAGAAAGGGAAAAAGCAACAAGAAAGACAAAAACAAAAUGGAAUGGCAAGUUGGUAAAUCGAAGAGCAAAUGAGUGGUGAUGAUGGAAGCUGAGAGUGGAAAGACGGCGCUUGUUUAUAAAAGUUGUGAUGGGAUGGGAUGGGAUGGGAUGGGAAGGAAGGAAGGAAAAAGGUGAAAGGGAAGGGAGGAGGGGGAAUCAGAUACGGCAUAAAUCAGGCGCUCACGGGUGACGUCAAGGCGUUGUCACGGACCAAUAGCUUUCCUUUCUCGUGUGGCUUCCGCCUUAUCCCCGUGGUUUCUGUUCCACCGCGCAACACUAUGCCCGAUGUUUAACACUCCCUUCCACCCUUUUCCCAUUAUUUUAUUCCCCGCUGUAACCACUCCUACGACUCCCAUUUGUUCGGGUUCCUUUUUCUUUUUCACUCCCUAAUGUUUAAUCCUUUCAUGCUUAUACAUUUAACUGCAUUUCAUUUCAAACAAUACUGUAGUAAUUUUUAUAAUUUUACCCAAAGUAUUGAAACAAUAUUCUUCAAAGUCUGGGGGCCUCCUCUGUAAUUCUCUUGUGACAAUGGCAUCUUAUGAUUAGGUCAAGUCAUUUUAUGUUGCACUUUGCUUAUUAAUAAUGUAUAGUCCGAGGGUAGGACAGAGAAAAAAAAAAAGAAGAGAAGAGGAAAUUCCUUACACCAAAUUGUUGUUUCUUUCCUAACAAACGGUGGGUAUUACAUUGAGACUUUGAUUAGUAUUGAACAAUUUAAAAUUUGAAAAAAAAAUUCAUAGUUAUGUUGAAUAAAAUGCUCAAGCUCAACUAUAAAAUGAUUUUGAGUUUAAUUCAUUAAUCUUAAAUAGAUUAUACAUAAUCUUAUAUAUAUAUUUAAAUUUAAAGAAAGGCGGAUUCGAACAUGUUCAAUUUCAUUUAUCAAAUUAAAAUAUAUAUAUUGUGUAAACCUAAAAUAGUAAAUAACAUAUAUAAUUUCAAAUUUUUACAAGAUAAAAAAAAAGAGAAGUUUUAAAAUGAAAAAAAGAGAGAUUAAUUUGGUAAAUGGAAAGGGCCAAAUACUAAAACAAAAAAAAGACAUAAACUAAGCUUAGCUGUGGAUGAAGGGAGAAGCUUGGGUGUGAUGGCUCUCCCUGUACUUUUCCAUUGUCUGCAUUCAACCCAAAAGCGAAGAAGAAGAUAAAUAUCGCCUCCUUUCUUCUCUCUCUUCCCUAUUGCUAUCAACACCGCUCUCUCUCUCACACGCACACAUUAGAUCUUCCUUGCUUUUGGUGCUGUGAAAAGCAAAUCUGAGGCUCUUGUUAAUCUUCGUUCCUUCUCUUUCUCUCUCUUUCUCUUUCGCUCUUCUUUCACAAAAUCUAUCUUUUUUUUUAUCUGAUCCAAAUCUUCAAAAACCUUCAAGUUCCAUUUAUUUACGCUUUCAUUUUCUCUUUAUUGGGUUUUUUUUUCCUUUCGCUUGUUAACUUCUUAUAUUGGGAGCUUGGGAUUUAAAGGGCUUGAAAAAAAAAGCUGCUUCUUUUAGUUGCUUCUUCUUCAAGAUCUUAUCUCUCUCUGCUUACAAAUCAAGCUGAAAAUUUUCUCCCUGGAAAUUGAUGCUAAAAUUCCCUCAGAAUUUUCCUCUUGGUUUUAAAGGACGUCGACUUGAGCUACGUAGAAUGGUUCUCUAGCUUAAAGUUCUUUGCAGAAAAAGAUAUAACAGAGUAAAACAGCGCAGAACAGGGGAAAUAUAAAGGAAGUUUCAAUGGAUUCAAGUACCCAUCAAAGCCAUCAAAACCAAAACAACCAGCCCAAUUCAGGGUUAUUACGUUUUCGUUCAGCUCCAAGCUCUCUUCUUGCUAAUUUCACCAAUAACCUUGAUUGUGGGGUCAAUAAAGGCAGUUUCGAGUCAGACAGAUUGAUAUCCAGAUUCAUGAAUUCAAGCGGCGGCAACAGCGAAAUCGAGGAUAAAUCUGGGACAGAGGUCGGUGUUAACUAUGCGAAUUCGCAGCAGAGUUAUUCAGGGUUACCGCCUCAUUAUCCGAGGCAGAGCUCUGCCGCGAGCUCCUCUGCUAUGGAUAGCUCAUACGAGUUGUUGGGAAUGGAUCAUCACAGUCCAGGGAAACCGAUUACUUCAAGUCUAAUGAGACAAAGUAGCUCGCCUCCAGGGCUUUUUACCAACUUGUCUGUUCAAAAUGGUGUUGUUCUUGUUCUCAUUUAUGAUUAUCAGUUUUUUUUGUUGAGGUUUUUAAUGCUUUUUCUGGGACAUUUUUGGUUGGUAGUUUAGACUUAGUUUUACUAUUUUGGCAGUUGUCUUUCUUAUCAUUUACGAUUAGAGAACGACCUAUGCCCAUUAAACUUUUAAAGUUAGCAUUUUGGUUGUGCUAGAUAGAUUUGGUGUUGAAAUAUGGAUCUAGCAGCUGAUAAUAAUUAAGCUUUUUGUAAAUUAAAAUAUAGACCACUCAGUUAAUUUGGUUGCUUAGUCUUUACUAAUAGUUAGAUUGAGUUUAUACUAAUAUUUGAUUGGGGAAUUUUAUUUCACGUAUAUAAAUCAAUAAUUUUUUUUUCUUUUCUUUUCCCCACCUUAUGUGGUUGCAUAUAAGUUAACCAGUGAAGCUCUUAUUGGUAAGAGAGGAGAUUUAAGGAAUUCUUUGAUAAUUGUUUUUGAAUUUCUGGUUGGUUAUGGAGGAACCAGAACCAGAGGUAAAAGAGAAGAAAAUAUAAUCCAUUCUUCUAAGAAAAUGGAUUUAAAAUCCUAUAGGUCAUGUAGAGUUAGAAUAGCAUGGGAUUGGCGACUUAGAUUCCAUUAAUGCUAAAUUACUGUCCAACUUUUAAAAUUCCGCAUAAAUUUUCUCACAAACAAAAUAUUUAAUGGAACCUGGACAUUUGAGGUUGUAUUGUGAAUCCAUUGUUUGUAAUGUGAAUCCAGAAAACUUAGUACUGAAAAUGUCUUCAGUAAAUUGCAGGCUAUGCCAGCAUGAAAGGUCUGGGAAACUACUGUGGGGUUAACGGUACUAAUGGAGAAUUAAGUCCAUCUUCAAACAGAUUGAAGAAUCAGAUUUGCUUCUCAUCAAGACUACCUUCUUCCUUGGGCAUGUUGUCGCAGAUUUCUGAAAUUGGCAAUGAAAGCAUUAGGACUGAUGGUCCUGAUGAUGGCAAACUUGGAAAUAGCAACAGUGAUGCUCGAUUCUAUGGCACUGGAUACCAAUAUGGUUCUUGGAAUGAUUCUGCACACCUCACAAAGAAUUUUUCUGGCUUGAAAAGGGCACAAGAUAAUGACCGGAAGUUCUUUUCCACUAACCAGGUAUAGAUUUGCCUAUCAACUCUAGCUUUUCUUAAAUUCCUCAAAAAAGUUAUAGCUUUCUUAAUUAAUUCUCUGUUGCUACAUCGAUUUUAACUUUUGAGUGCUUCUUUAUCAAUAGAAUGGAGAUCUUGGAAAUUGUGUUCAUGUAUUAUCUCACCACUUGAGUCUGCCGAAGACUUCAAAUGAGAUGGUUGCCAUGGAGAAGUUUCUACAUUUUCAAGAUUCAGUCCCUUGUAAGAUUAGAGCUAAGCGUGGUUGUGCUACUCAUCCUCGAAGCAUUGCAGAAAGGGUAAAAAUCCCUACAUUUCAAACCUGUUAUAGUCCUGCUCUUACUAAUUGCCUCCUGAUCGGAUAUCAAGCGAUAAUUUCAAAUUUCACUGUAUUUUAUAUGAUAAGAGAUCAAAUUAGAAAUGAUCAAAUUAUUCUAAUACAUAUGCAAAAGCAAACGAAUAUAGAAGUAUGCUUACACACACAGGCAACUUAAGAUUUUUGUAGCUACAUUGUUUGUACAAAAUUUGUCCAUUUCAUAAAGUGGAAUAUAAAGGGUAAAUUACUUUCAGGUGAGAAGAACCCGGAUCAGUGAACGGAUGAGAAAGCUACAAGAGCUUGUCCCAAACAUGGACAAGGUAUGAUUUUUUCCUUGCGGUUUUGGGCAGAAAAUUCCUGUCUGUGAAACUGAUUGUUUCAGGGUUUCAUGUUGGCAGCAAACAAAUACAGCAGACAUGUUAGAUUUGGCAGUGGAGUACAUCAAGGACCUUCAAAAACAGUUCAAGGUACCAGAGGAGAGCCUAAUCUUCGAACUAAACAUUCUUUUCUGGUACUCUUUUUUCAUCUUACAGUUGCAAUGAUAUUCUUUUGCAGACUCUUAGCGACAAUCGUGCAAACUGCAAGUGCUUACAUAUACAGAAGCCGGUCGCUAAUCAAAUUGUAUGAUUUGCUUUGGUGUCUGUACAAAGAAUAGGGAAAGUAACGGAGAGAAGGGGACAGAAUUUUGAUCUGAAUCGUUGAUCUUUCUGAUGUGCUGAACCAAGUAUAAAGGAAGUUUUAGGUUUUUCUUUUUGCCCUUUUGUGAUGUAGAAAGUAUGGUUGCAUUUCCACCACAAGAUUCCAAAAUCCUGUAAGCUAACAAAGCUUCCCACUUGAAGAUAUAUGGAAUAAAGAGAAAGUUGUAUAGGACAUGUUUUUGUAUUGCAUUCCCCAUUAUCAUUUCUCACUUUGAAAUGUGAUUCGGUUAGUUUUCAAGAGUCAAUGAUUUUUAGUUGAAAUUCCCUUUUUAAGGUGCGGCUAGCUUCUAUAUGUUGAUCAUCCCACGUUGGGUAAGGCAUUAGUAUGGCCCUGGAACCAACCUUAUCCUCAAAGGACGCUAUUGAAUGCAAAACCAGUUGCCCGAUCUGACGAAUUUCCUUUCUUUAUGUUGCGGAAAGAGAGUCAUGCAAGGAAAUAGUCAAGGAAAUAGAUUCUGUCAAAAACGAUGAGCGCGGAAACCAAUCAAAUACUGUUUAAUUUUUCAAUGUAUGCGCAUAUAUAUUGAUUUCUAUAUAGUACUAUAUAUUUCCUAGUUGUGUGUUUGAGUUUUACUAGUCAUUUCCGUAUAGUAAUAUCGUAUUGAUUUUUAUGUAUCAUUUAAUUUUAAAAGUUGUGUUAAAAUUCUUUAGUUUUUAUUUUCUACUUUCAUCUUCUACUCAUUUUAUCUUUAGUUUCAAAUUUUGAACUUAAUAUUCUGUAGGAGAAAAAUAGUUUUCUUUCAUCUUUUAAUUUUUUUAAUCUUUAAUCUCAAAUUUAAACUCUGCUUUAUCAUUUUUUAAAAUAAAAACCAGGAUUUUAAGAUCAUUGGCAAUAAAUAGUUAAUAUUAAUAUUUUUUAUUGGCCAAAGAGAAAAUUUACAUUAAAGACAAAAAAGAAAAAAGAAAGGUAGGCUCAUGACAUGAAGUUUAAAAAGGAUCCGCACCAAAAUUGGGUGUCCAUGCAACACACCAAAACAUUUCUUCUAAAGUCGCAAUAGGCAAAAACCGUUAAAUGGGUCCCGCACUGACCGUUGGUGUUGGCUUUCUCCUUCACCUCUUAACAGAAAGCCUUUCAAUAAAUCCACCAUGAACAGAAGCCUCUGAUCUUUCUUCCUCUUCCUCCUCCUUCCUCAAACCCUAACCCUAACCCUAAUUUCCUGUUUUCCAUCGUCACCUCUUCCCACUGCCCCACAAUUCGCCCUUUUUCCCUCCUCCACAUUUUUGUCUUGAUCUUAUGAUAGUGCCAUGCAAAGCUUCAUUUCUUAUGUUUACCAGAUCCGCAUGAUUAAUCUUAACCGCCUUUUCUGUGUGAUUUAGUUAUUGUGUUUUAUCAUCGAAAUAACCUGUGGGUUUUGAGUGGUGGAUCAAUUCGAGAGGGGAAUUUUGAUUGGGUGGUGACCAUGUCAAACUUUUAUGGGGAUUACAAUCAAAAGAUUGAUUAUGUAUUCAAAGUGGUGUUGAUAGGCGAUUCAGCAGUUGGAAAAUCUCAGCUUCUGGCACGUUUCGCGAGGAACGAAUUCAGUGUGGAUUCAAAAGCCACAAUUGGUGUUGAAUUCCAGACUAAAACACUUGCCAUUGAUCACAAGACUGUUAAAGCACAGAUUUGGGAUACUGCUGGCCAAGAAAGGUAAAAGUUUUUCUUAUAUAUGCCCGAAAUUUUCAAUUUGUUAAUUUCCAUAAUUGCUAGAUUUGAUGGAAAGAAAGAAUUAGAGUAGAAAAUGCCAAGGGAUGAUUAUAUUUUGUCUUUUUACCUAUCCAAGGAACAAUUAAAUAAUUAAGCAGAAUGCGUUUCAUCAUUUCAAGCUAAGAAAAUUAGGAAAAUAUAUACAUUGGAAGUGAGGUAGAACUGCGUCUAUGAUGUAGGGGGUGGAAUAAGAAUAAGACAGGAAAGUAAUAUCUUUAUGCAUUUUGUAAUGACGAAUUAGUGGUGCUCCAGGCCUCCAGCCUAUUGCGACAUUCUGGAGAUGAUGAUAUAUUGGUUGGUUGAAGACCACUAGUCGAAGCCAAGAAAUUUGGUAGCUUGAGAUUUUCUAAUUAUUGGUUAAUGUGAGGCAGAUCUUUAUGUUGCUUCCCUUUCAAUCAAAGGAGUAAUGACAAUGGUAAGAUUGUUUAGUGUGGACUUAAGUGUUAGAAUUUCUAUCAGUGAUUUGAUCCUAAUGCUGGUUUGAAAUCGUAAAGUGCAAUAAUAUAGCAGCUGAGCUGCUAAGAAAUACCACUUUCCAGGUUUUCUCAUGUUCUGGGCACUCUAGGAAUGGUUUUAGGUGGAAUUUAACAGGAAAAUUCUUGGUCCUCCAAUAAAGACUUAAAUUGUUGGUGUCAUUGUUGUUGAAGGUACAGAGUCAUUUUCUAACAAUUAGAGAUCCUACAACGUUUUCAGCUGAGAAGAGAUAAUGAAAUGCAAUGGCCAGUCACUGAUGCCGUUGUGCCUUUUUCUGACAGUUUCCCUAGUUAUAAGCCCUUGUUAUUCUCUUCCACCCGGACAAAAUUUAAAUUAGAAAAGAAGAAGAAAGAAGCAAAGAACUAUUUGAUCCCCACCAGUAAAACAUCAAGAAACAAUGAGAAUGAAGACCUUCCAGAAACAUGUUGGAGUGUUGUUUCUGUCUCUUAUGGUUACAAUGCCAACAUUACAGGAAUUAGUGAAACAGUUUCCAUGUAAUUUAUGAUGCUAAUAAGCUUUUCUUCUUUCAUUUAUGAUGGCAUGGUACUAUAGUUUUCUCAAGAGUACAUCAAAGUUACUGCUUCGGUAUUUUCUGACUUUGUGAAUUGUUUGUUUAAACUUUAUGGUUUAUUUAUUGGGCUGGAUUUGUUCAUCAAACAAGCACAUAAAAAGGAUUGCAGCCUAGUAUCUUACUGUCCUGGGAUCUUAAUUUAUAGCUGCACCAUUUUACUCAAUCUUGAACCCACUGCAUGAUGAUUACUGUUUCUUGUGUCUAUGCUUUAACUUAGGGAAAAGUUUGAUUUUUACUCUGCAGAAUCCCUCAUGUCAUUAGGUAACUCAAAUUACCUUUACAUAUAGACAUAGGCAGUCUGGCUCGCUCCCUGAAUUUCAGUGAUAUGUGUUUCCAUUCAUCUGCAUUGCCAAGUUUCUAACAAGAAUAUCAUCUUGCUCCUCCAUGACAUUUGACAAUCCUUAUUCUGCUUUCUGUUUCCUUCUUUGUCUUGGUCAUGAGCAUUCCAUCUUUUCCAUCAAUGGUAUCUUCAUUUUGAAUGUAAACUCAGUUAUAGUUUUGAUAGCUCAUUAAAAUUCUUCCUGAAUAUAUUUCCUCAUGAAGGAUAGGGGAUCUGAUUAGAAUGAAAUCUCUUAGAAGUGUUUAUCAUAAAAGAUUCUACUUGGUCUAGUUGUAACCAGGCUUGUUAUUCUUGUCUCCUACAUGACGCUAGUUUUGAGAUGUGUGAUAAAUUUCCUUCCAUUUCACCUGAACAACACCAAAGUCUCAUCAUUGAGUAUGCAUGCUACACAUUAUGCUGUCAAUACUCACACUUUUCACUCUUACAUACACUACAAAACAAGAGAAUGACUUUCAAAGGUUGCCCUAGCAUUCCAACUAUCAAUUUUAUUUACCCCAAAAAACGUCUCUAUAGUUUUUCCGAGAGAUAUACUACAAAAACUAUAUACAUGAUAUUCUUUGAGGUCUUGUAUUCUUGAGAUGCUCCUUGAAUCUGUGCAGGACCAUGAAAAAUUUUCUGUUUGCAUCUAGAAAGUCUAACUGAAAUGUGCAUACAUCCUUUGUAUCUUUGGCAAUCUCUUUUCCUCCUAUUUAUCCUCAAGAUUGCUUUGUCUUAUCCAGAACAAAAGCCCAUUGAGAAAUGUUAAAAGCUCAGAUGAGUUGGCCACACAUUUUAUCCUGAUAUUUUGCUAUGCAAUUCAAUUACUGAACAUCUAUUUUGGGUCACUUAACUGCCAUUGUGGUAGCUAUCUGCUAUUUUUGUGUAUGACCAUUUGCACAAGCACAUGCAUGCAUGUAUUAUCUACACUCUGCAUAUGUGUCUUUUUACAUGGAUGUCUAUACACGUUUGCAUGCAAUUCAAUAUGCAUGCUUGUAUGCAUAUAACUCAUACUAAAUAAUUCUAUAUCCACAUUUAUAAAAUCCAUGUUAAUACUUGGUCAUAUCAUAUCAUAUUCUAUAUCAACUAUUUAAUUUCGGUAUGUUUUUACAUGGAUGUCUAUACACGUUUGCAUGUAUUAUCUACACUCUGCAUAUGUUUUUACAUGGAUGUCUACACUGCAAAGCCACUCUCUCCACUCCAUUACUUGAGCACAUGGUAGAGCACAUAUAGAAACUCAUGUUCCAAUCAUGCAGGAAGUAACAGAAGAAUACUGUGUUUUGUUAUUCUUAUAAUUGACUUGCCAACAAAAUAAGCAUUGUGAUUUGGUUUGAAAUUGUUUUGCUUUAGUGAAUCUAAUAGCCCUGAAGUUAUUGAACAACUAUAGAAGUUUUCCUGUUAGACUAGCACUGAACAAGAUAAGCAGAAUUUUAUACUAUGAUAUUGCUUCUUUCUUUCAUUUUUUGUCUCAGUCCAAUGGCCUUAAAUUGACUGGAAAUUUUGGUGAUAUCGUAAAUUGUUAAGCAUAUGAUGAUAUAGAGAAUUUUGGCACCUGAAGGGAGAAUAAAAAUCAUAAACAAACACUUGUGCACAACAAAGUAGGUGAUAGAAAAUUGCUAAAGAUUCUUGUCAUUUUUGCAUUUUAUGUUGCCGGAGAGAAUUGUUGUUAAGCUAAUGUUCAUGAAUCUGGUACUGUCAUCUUUACUCAUGCAGAUUGUUGCUACAUUGACAAGCAUACUUAGUUCAUUUUUUGAGAUUUCUAUGGCAGUUCAAGCAAAUCAAUGAGAUUGUCUGAUAGAUUUAUGACUAUUUAAAGUGAAAAAAAGUGAGUAUUUAUCUGAAAAGAUCCACAAGUUCUGCAGGAAUCAGAUUGAAUCUAUAAAAGAACCCGUCAUUCUUUCCUUUAUGCAGUAUAUGUAUGCUGGCAAAAUUUCAUUAUCGGUGAUGCGCAUUUCAUCCAAUAUAAUAAUGAAUUGCAUCUUAUUAGUUCAUUCAACAAAAAUGAAACGAAGAAAUUUGAUUGAUUAAUUUGUUUUGCAUUUUCUUCCCUUACCCAUUGAUGAUAACAAUUACUUUGCUUUAGAAGACUAGGCACAUAGUAAGUAACAAUUAGAGUGCUAAUCUUCUUUUUUGACACGGUGAUCAUAGAGCUCGCAUAUACUAUGAGAACCUAGUUAAAAUUAAAUCGUUUUCUCUGACAUCUGUAUAGUUGCUUUGGAUUCACACAGUAUUUAGUCAUUUUAGUGUGUAUAGAUUAAGACCAAAGUAACACAGCAAUGCCUGAUGCAUUUACAAGCUCUUGGACUGUGUUUGUUGCAUCAAGCAAUUGCAUUUUAUUUCCUUCAAAUUGAAUGGUUUGCUGAAGGCUCCUUCUUUCUGUUCUCCUAUCAGGUAUAGGGCGGUGACAAGUGCAUACUACAGAGGAGCAGUAGGAGCGAUGUUAGUGUAUGACAUGACCAAGCGCCAAUCGUUUGACCACAUGGCAAGGUGGCUAGAGGAAUUGAGGGGGCAUGCUGAUAAGAAUAUCGUAAUCAUGCUUAUUGGCAACAAGUGUGACUUGGGAAGUCUGAGAGCAGUGCCAACUGAAGACGCACAAGAGUUUGCUCAAAGAGAGAACCUGUUCUUCAUGGAGACAUCAGCACUGCAAUCCACCAACGUUGAAACUGCAUUUUUGACAGUUCUAACAGAGAUAUAUCGAAUCAUCAGCAAGAAAACCCUUGCUGCUAAUGAUGAGCUAGAUCCCAAUGGCAAUUCAGGUCUUCUUAAGGGAACCCGGAUUAUUGUUCCCAAUCAGGAGCUGCAAACAGAAAGGAAAGGUGGCUGCUGUGGAUGAUCCUAAUUCUAACAGGCCUGCUUUUUUCUUUUUUUCCAAACUUUGUUUUGAUACUUUAUUUUUUGCCAGACUUUUUGAUUUGUUAAUUUAGGUUCUUUUUUGUAAUUCUUAAGAAAAGCAUAUCAGUAUUUUUUAGGAAAGGUUAUUCAUAUUCUCGGGUGACAAGAAUGACGUAAUGUUGAUUAAUUAACUGGGUGUGCAUAUCAUGGAAAGUUAACAUUGAGGUGAAUGAUAAUAUCAUGGAAUGAGGCCCAUGUAGUCCUACACUACUACUACUAUUACGUUCAAAUUGGCUCUGUAUGAGAUGGAAUAGUUGUCUAUUUUUAUACAUUUUAAUUCUUUCUUAAUAUUUUUCAAAUAUAAUAAAAAAAUUAUAUUAAUAAAUUCAUGUCAAAUUUAUUGUCAUCUUUCUUGAAUUCAAGAUUAUUUUUUUAUCACGAGGAACUAAUUAACCAAUUAAUCUAAAGUAUCUAACUCCAUAGAUAUAAAUGAAAACUAAAUUCAUGUGAGCUUUGAAUUAAUCAUUAUACUUAACACCAAACCAAAACAUAACGUAUAAUUUUAACUUUUGAUUUCCAUAAGAUUUUAAUUUAUUUUAAUUUAUAGUGGUUUUUCAUUCUUUUUUUUGUUUUUUGUUUUACUAUUAGUAAUUUGUAAUUUAUGUUUUCGUUUUCCUAGUAUCAUUAAACUAUCGUUAGGGUGAGGGCAAAAGAGUAAUCUUAGCAAUCAAACACGACUGCGCUUAAGCGCCUAAACUCAAAAUUUGAAAAUUAGAAAAAGCAUGCAAAGCGAAGGAACACAUACUUGCACGUGCCAAACAUUUUCCUGAAACCACCUGGGAGUGGGAUGGGAACUCCUUUCCCCCUAUAAUACCGCCCAUUUUUCGUUUUGAAAAAUUUGCCAAACUCGCCUCUCCCUCGAACAACAGAGCGCUCUCUCUCUCUCUCUGUGUCCCCUUUUAUCCUCUGCUGAGAGACCCUUCAUCACCGUCAAACCCUAUCAAGAAAACCCCAUUUCUUCUAGAGGUAAAUAAAACUAACCCAACCCCUUUUCUCAGUCUUUCUUGCUUUCUUUCUCCUUUUCCAUCUUUCUUGGAAAUUUCAGAUACCCAUAUUCGUUUUCUUGUUUUUUUUUUCUUUUCUUUUUUCAGUCAGUUGAAACCAUAUGCAAUGGCAGAUUCAAGAGACAGAAUCACGAGAGCCGUUGAUAUAGCAGAAGUCUUCGCUCGAAGACGGUCUGGGCCUUUGGGAAUUCUCUCGGAUGAAGCACAGGAGUUGUUAGCCUCUCCUGUUCAACGACCGGUUACUCGUAGGCCAAUGGGUGUUGCUGUGACUACUUCUACGUCGCGUGGGGGAGGGCUCCGCAGGGGUAGCAGUUUUGGGACCCCAAGAUCCGGGAUUAGAAUAGGCCGUAAUCUUUACCGAUCGCCGGCUCCGGGAAGAGAGAAUGCUCCAAUGGGUGUCAUGGGGCGUGGAAGGGGUCGACUUACGGGCAGUGUGUUACCUUCUUGGUACCCAAGAACUCCUCUCCGUGAUAUUACUGCUGUUGUGAGGGUAAUGCUUACUCUUUCUCUCUCUCUUUUUUUUUUUUGGUGAUAUGUUGCUUAAGGGUUUUGAUUCUGUAUUUUGAUCUCUUUCUUUGUUUUUUAUGUUCACUGCUAAAGGGGGAAAACAUUGAUUUGUUUUUUUUGAACUGCACUAGUUACUUUUGCCAAGAGAUGCUUGCCAUAAUAAUUAUUCAACCCCUGAUUUAUGAAUUGUCAUGGUUCGGGCUUCAUUUCCUUUUGGUUGAUAUGUUUAGGUCGUUUAUUGAAUACUUUCAUAUGCAAUCUGAUUGGUUUUGGUAGUUAUUGUCUUUUUUUCCCUUUAUUUCCAAUAUGUUUAAUGAUUGCUGAAUUUUGUAUUACCAUAGAAGUUGCUUGCUUGAAUGAGCUCGAUUUUACUUACUCAGGUCUGGGUUUUUAUCCACUUGUUUACUGUUAGAUGUUCAUGUAAUUGUCUUCAUUUCGUCAAGUGUAUCUUUAGGCUCCCUUUGUACUUCUUAACAACCCGUAGUCUAUAGCUACAGUCAGUAAGGGAUGUCUAGUUCUCUCUGCUUUCUAGUUUCUAGUAGUACAUGGAUUCAUACUGCCAGUUGGUCUAUAUGCUAUGUAGAUUUCAGUCUGAUAUAUUUACUCCAGUUGCUGUAUUUUUUAUUUUCGUUUUUUUUUCUGAUUGUUGGUAUAUGGGUUUCAUCAGCUGUGUUAAUGAGAUGUCCAUUCAUUACACUGCCCUGUUACAAUGUCAUCCUUUCAAAAAACCAUAUUGGUUCCCUAUCCUUUCAGCCAAAAUGGAGAGCUUCAUGUCGUACAUUGGAUUAGGCGCUCAACUUGAGCUCCAACAGAAUGGCCAGAAUUUAUCUUUGUUUUCUGUCUGUCAAAGUUGGAAAGAAAUUUCUCAUUUCUUUCGGUUGUUUAUUUUGAGGACAAGCCUGAUUAGCUUAGGAUUUGUUGGACUGUAUAGGAUUUGAGCUGAAAUAGGGUAUGUUAAGAUAAUUAUAUAAAUUAUUUUGUUAAGAGUUAUAAUACAAUACUAUUACCUAGUUAGAUUACAAUAUCUAGUUAAAAAUUAUAUUAUAAUACUAUUGAUUAGAUAGAGAUAGAUUAUGAAUAGGAUUAGUUAUAUAUAUAUAUAUAUUUUUAUAAUUUUAUAAUAGAAGAGUUCUCGUCUUUGUAAUAUGGUUUUUUUUUUUUGUUGUUUGACUUGGGGGUUUUCUUAGGCUUGCUGAGAUAAUUAAAUUGAUGAGAAUUUAACCAGGCCAUUGAAAGGAGGAGAGCUCGUUUAGGAGAAGGCGAACGCCAAAUACUUGAGAGCCCAACGUCGCAAGAUGAAAGGGUUCUUAAUUCAAAUUUAUCAUCAGGUGUUCAACUCGAGCACAAUUUCUCCACUCCAGCUUCAACUGCCAGAAUGAAGCCUUGCCCUCAAUCAGUCCGUAAUGUGUCAAAGAUUUUGCUUAAUGUCACGAAUCAGAAUGGUGAGGAAUCAGAGAUUCUUACACCCCAAAAGAAACUCUUGAACUCAAUUGACACUGUAGAGAAAGCUGUGUUGGAGGAAUUACAGAAAAUGAAGAGGACUCCCAGUGCCAAGAAAGCAGAAAGACAAAUGAAAGUCCGCACACUGAUGUCAAUGCGUUGAUGUUUAGCGCAUUAUGCAACCACUAGGAUUGGGAAGACAGCAUCAGUUAGAACAACUGGAAGGCUAGAGAUUGCAAGCCACCUUGCAACGGGAAGCUGGCUAAUCAUCCUCUGAUGAUAUGUUUACAUUGUUGAACUCGGAUACCAGAUAGCAUAGAUACUUUCUAUCUUCUUUUACAGUUCGACAUAUUACUAAAUGACUCACUAUAGGAUCAGGUGUCAAUUUUCCUUCAAUCCUCGCUGAAGGCCCUGGUAGAAGAUUGGUAAGCAAUCUUGUUUCUUCUCUCCAUUUUUUGAAGGGACCAGUGUAGGAAUAGAAGGAUUUGUUUCAAAAUCAUGUAGAUAUACAACUUGUUUGGACUUGCCUCACAUUUUUUCUUGGCUCUAUAUUCAUGUUACCAUCACCAUGUACUAAUGAAGUGUCAUAAGAUUGGAUUUUAACAAGAAUGGAUCUAUAUUCAUGACUUUUCUUGCAUAUUGAAAAAUAGAAUAAUGAUAAAGCUGUUAUGUAUUUCAUUAAUUUCCUGAAAGUAGCAGGAACUGGUUGUUAAUUAAAGUUGAAUAUACCCUUGACCUGGCCUUUUGGAUUAUUCUAACAUGAUUCAUAAUAUGGUCAAGUUCAACCUGGAAAUCUAUUGGCCACAUGUCCUGUUUCUUUGAUAAAUAAUGUAGUUUGAGUAUGGUUUUGGGUGACGCAAAGGGUAGUAGGAGGGGAUGUGGGUGUGGAUGAUGGCCAUGGCAGGGUGUCAUGAAUCUUAUAUCAAAAUGGGAUGGGAUGGAGUUGGGUUUUAGAUUUAUAAAUAGAAGUCUAUUUUGAUUGAAUAUAUCUUUUGGUUGAAAAUGUGAAUUUGUGACAAGUGUUAUCAAAGUUAAAAUAUAAUCUUUCUUUUUUUGAUAGUAUAGAAUAUCAUUAAUUUCACUUUAAUAAGAGAUUAGGUGAGUCAAUUUUUAUUUAGCAAACAUGUUUUUUGAAUUAAAACGUGGACAAGUGAGACAUGGUACUUUCUUCUUUUUUUUUUUUUUAAUUUUUAACAAUAUUUUUAUUUUUUUCUUUUAUGUAUUUUCUUACUUCGGGCUUACCAAUCCAAGGUCUAAUAAUUGUGGGCUUUAAAUCUAGAGUAACAGAUUGGCCUUCUAACUAACAGGGUUUAAACCCAAUUAACAGUUAAACCUUAGACUCAAGUUAAAAUAAGUCCAAAUAAAACAAGUUUUAAAAACUUAAUACUCUGAACUAGACUAAAUAUCGGUAAUCAUUCAACUUGAAACUAAAAUUUACACUGAAUGACUCUAUACAAAAUGGAAUGUCUACCCACUUUGCUGGUUUCUUUUUUCUCAAUUAGUAAUUUUACUUACUAAAAUUAUUAAAAUACCUUGAAUUUCAAAGUUAACAUAUAUUUCUUUACAUGUAAGGGUAUCUUUAUAAAUUUAUUGGGGUAUAUUUAUUUACAUAAAAAAAAAUUGAGUAAUGCUCUCUUUGUUUUCAACGAAGACUUUUUCAAUUGUUUUGAAUUUUUUGCUUGUUAACAAAUAGAAUGGAAAUCUCGUAAAAAUAUUGAUUUUGUCAUUUUGUUGUAAUGGUCCCUGAUGAUGGAGUAUAAAAGCCAAAGAGACUAGAGUGGAACAGGUCAGAUAAUUGAAGGUUAGUACAUCAUUUUUAGGCGAUGGGGACUAUUUCUGCGUAAUGCACGAGGGCCACUGCAAUUUUCUUUUGUUGUUAAUUAGAGAGGACCACUCCAAAUCUCCAUUUGCUUCUCCCAAAUUGCCAUACCAAAGACAAAUAUUAAGACUUUCCUAGUUAUCAAUGAAACCCAUAUUUCCAUUUUUCUUUUGGCAGCAGAUAACGACCAAAUUUGUAAUUCGUCCAUGGUCCCUGCCCUCAGUCUCCCUCCAUGUUUGUCAUAUGCAGGGAGCAAACUUUGUGGAACAAGAUUCUCUCCUAACAAUUUCAAGGACUUUUUUGAGCAUUGAAAAACUUGAUUAAAUCAUAAACGAUACCGCAUGAACCAAGAUAAUAAAAUGAGACGAUUUUAAAAAUAAAGUGUUUUCGAAAAUAACCAUAUUUUUAAUUUUAACUGUUUUUAUUCAAGAGAAAUUUUUUUUAAUAAAAUUAUCUUCAAUGAAACUUUCUCAUAUUCAAGUGCACAUGUUGAAAAAAAUAUUAUUAUACAUAAUGUUGGAAAAAGUUGUUACACACUAUAUUUAAAGUGUUUAACUCUAAGAGUUUAUUUUCUAAUGAAAUACAAAGACAUAGACCAAAUUACAUGUCAUGUUUAAAAAAUAAUAUUAUUACACUUCAUGUUAAAAAAAAAUGUUGUUAUACCAUGCUAAAAAAAUGAAAAAAAAGUUGUUAUACGUCAUAUUUAAUGUAUUUAACUUUAAGAGUUUAUAUUUUAGUGAAAUACAAAGAUAAAGAUCAAGUGGUUUAAAUUGGUUCUGUGAAUAUAAACUAAUAAACUCAAAAACAUACAUUAAUGUCAUAUUUGCUCUUUGGUUUGUAGAUUGAAGAAGAUAUGAUGAGAAAUAGAUAAAGAGAGAUGACAAUGGUGAUAAAAUUAGAAAAAGCUGAAUGGCGAGAGAGAGAAAUCGAGAGCACAGCAAACAAAAGUGGGGGAAGGAAGUUGAUAAAAUUAGAGAGAACUAGAUGACGAGAGAGAAAUCGAAAGCACAAAUAGAUGUCGGAAAAAGAAAUCCGGGGGGGGGAUUUUUUAAUUUGUUUGAAAUAACUUAAAGGGUAUUUUUAUCAAAUUAUGAUAAAAUUAGAUAAAAAUAGUUAAUUUUGUAUUAGAGGCUAUUUUUUAAAUGACCUUAUGAGGUUAACAAUUUCUCAUAAUUUUCUUUAAUAAAAUAGUUGUAUACGCUUACAUGAUACAUCAUUUGUUAAUAUAGAUGUCGAUUCAGGAUUUGAUCAUGUAAAUAAAUCAAUCACACCAUAGCUUUGUUAAUUGAAAUAUACUCAAAGUAAUACUUAUAAUUAAUAUUAGCAUGGACUAUUUAAUAUAUAUAUAUAUAUCGAUAUAUAUAUAUAUCUGUGUAUAUAUUAUAUAUAUAAAUCCUAAACGAUACCGGAUGAACCUAAAUAAUAAAAUAGUUGUAUAUGCCUAUAUGAUACAUCACUUAAAGUUUGCAAUUAGGAUUGGAUCAUGUUAAUAAAUCAAAGCACAAUAUAGCUUUCUUAAUAAAAAUAUACUCAAAAUUAAAUAAUUCUUAUCAUUAUUUAGUGUAUACAUGCAUUAGUACGUGUUAUAUAUUAAUUAUUUAUUUAUUUGAUGAGAGCGAUGGAAAUGGAAUGUAUUCAUUGAUUAUUAAACGCAAAAAUUAGGGAUGAAACUCUAUAAAAGCAUGUUAAAAGUCCAGCAUUUACAACACUAAGAAAAAGAGAAACAGCCCUUUCCAAUUUGCCAUGGCCAUCAUAUCUAGUGACAUUCUCUAUUACCCUCUCUUUUUGAUUUGGUUCAUCACUGCUCUCCUAGUCCACUCUUUCAUCAAAAGAUUCCUGAAGCCUUCUCGCACCCGAGUUCCAGACCCACCGAGCCCCCCUGCACUCCCAUUCGUCGGUCACCUCCAUCUAGUCAGCUCCGUCCUACCCAAAUCUUUCCAAGCCCUAGCUGGACGCUAUGGCCCUCUCAUGCAGAUCCGUCUGGGUGCAUCAUCUUGCGUUGUUGUAUCCAACGCCACGGUUGCAAAAGAAAUCUUCAAAACUCAGGAGCUCAAUUUUUCUUCCAGGCCCGAAUUCGGUUCCUCAGAGUACUUCAUUUACAGAGGUUCAAGGUUUGUCCUGGCCCAAUACGGUGACUACUGGCGUUUCAUGAAGAAACUUUGCAUGACAAGGCUCCUGGCCGUCCCUCAACUAGACUUGUUCACCGACAUCCGAGACCAAGAGAAGGUCAAGCUCGUGGAAUCCGUGAUGAAAUGUUGCAAAGAAGGGAAGCCCUGUGAUUUGAGCAGCGAGUUAACCACCCUGACGAAUAAUACUAUCUGUAGAAUGGCAAUGAGCACACGCUGUUCGGGGAACGAUAACGAUGCUGCUGAGAUUAAAGAGUUGAUUCGGACAUGUUUGCAGCUUUCAGGGAAGAUAAGCGUAGGAGAUGUAUUGGGUCCUCUGAAGAUAUUGGAUUUCUCUGGAAACGGCCAGAAGCUUAAGGCAGCGUUGCUGAAGUAUGACCGGCUGGCGGACAGGAUCAUCAAGGAACAUCAAGAGGAGGCGAUGAAGGGUUUGGAUAAGAAUCAAAGGAAGGAUCUGUUGGAUAUUUUGUUGGAGGUUUGCAAAGACCCAACUGCUGAAGUGAAGAUUUCCAUGAAGGACAUCAAGUCUUUCUUGCUGGUAAGUUCUCUACCUUCUUCUAGAGAUGUAAACAUUGAGCAAGCAAGAUAAGUUGUUAGAUUAGGACUAUGAAAAAAAAAUCCAUUUUUCUUUGUUGUAUUUAAUGUGGUUUAAAUUAACAUAAUAACUACUAUUUUGUUUGGUCAAUUAAUUUAAUUCGCCUUUUAGUCAUUAAUGAAAAUACUCAAAUUAAUCCCAAACCCAAAUCAAAUUACAUGAUUAACGUUAUUAUUAGUUAAAUCUUGAAUAAAAUUUAAAAUGUUUUUAACUAAAAAUGAAAUAGCUAGAUAGGCUCAAAAGAAUCAGUAAAAAGCAUUAAACAUCUUUUCAAAAAUCUUGUAAGCAAACUGAAUAGAAUUUCGAAUUCAAUUGGGUUUUGAACUAUUUACUUUCAUUAUUCAUUUUUGUUUAGUAACUAGUUUGGUUCAAGUCUAUUUUUCGAGUUUUGAAUUGAAUUGAUUAGAUAUUAAUAAGUCUGAUUAAUUUGAUUAGAUUGAAUUUAUUAGUUAUAUUAAUAAUAGAUCAUUGGACUUUAGGACAUAAAAAUAAGAAGAAGUGUAUUACAACCCAUGAUCUUAGGUAUAAGGUGAAUUACACAACUCUAUAGUUAAGAAAUUGUACAAGUUAAUUAAAGGUGUAAUUAUAAAUAUAACAUUACUUGAAUUCGACUCAUUUAGAAAGUAAAAACUCACCAAUCAUCAAACCCUUAACGUGAACCCCAUCAAAUUUUAUUUUGAAACAAAUAUAUUUGACUGAUCAUAGACUAAUUAAUUUCCAUCCACUUUAGAUCAAAUGGUAGAUAUAUAAAUUAAAUAGACUAUACUUAAAUUUAUGAAUUAAUUAACUUAAUUAUAUCCCUUGCGUUUUCAAGGCAAAAUCCUUGACUAACUUGAUGUAUACAUGAGCACGUAAAUACUUUUAUAGAAUUCACACAAUUUUAUGUUGUUAAUUAAGUCCUAUACAUUCCAUGCUAUAAACAAAUUGAUUAUGUAUAACUGAUCUUUGAAUGCGGAUGAUAAGGAUAUAUUCAUGGCCGGAACUGAUACAUCCUCCGCAGCCAUGCAAUGGGCCAUGGGGAAGCUCAUCAACCACCCAAAAGCCUUUCAGAAGCUUAGAGAUGAAAUCAAUUCGGUCGUGGGGCCCAACAGGCUAGUCAAAGAAUCCGACGUCCCGAAUCUUCCUUACCUCCGGGCAGUCGUAAGGGAAACUCUACGGCUUCAUCCUUCAGCUCCCUUGAUCAUCAGGGAAUGUGCUGAAGAUUGCAAGGUCAAUGGCUUCAUAGUGAAGGCCAAGACCCGAGUUUUAGUCAAUGUCUUUGCUGUCAUGAGGGACCCUGAUUCAUGGACAAAUCCUAAUGAAUUCGAACCUGAAAGAUUCCUGGAAAGCUCUGAUGAAAGAAUUGGAGAGCAUCAAAUGGAAUUCAAAGGUCAAAACUUUCGGUUCCUUCCUUUCGGGAGCGGUCGGAGAGGAUGUCCCGGAGCCUCCCUUGCCAUGUUGGUGAUGCAUGCAGCUGUGGGAUCCUUGGUUCAGUGCUUUGAUUGGAAGGUGAAGGAUGGGGAGAAGGUUGAUUUGAGCCUAGGAUCAGGGUUCGCUUCAGAAAUGGCUCGUCCACUCGUGUGUUACCCUAUUGCACGUUUUAACCCCUUUUGAGAAAACAUCAUGAAAAAGUUCAAACAAAUAUUAAUAGGAGCUUUGUGUUUGGAAAUUAGUAUUUCUUUUCCAACUGCCUACUUAAUUUUUUAGUUUAAGUUUCUGAGUUGCAAAAAUUUCCGUUGUGUAUGUAUAAAGGUUGUGUUGUGUACGUUAAAAUAUAAGUUAUUGUGUUUAUCAAAAAAAAAAUACUGUGUUUUUUAUUAUAUAUAUGAAGAAAGAAAAAGUGAGAAAUGAAAGUUUUGAGGUAAGAAAGAAAAUUACUUAUUAUUCUAUUUACGUACUCAAGAUCAUAUGUACUUUAAAAAAAAAAAAUCAUCUCGAUUUGGCAAACAAGUCGUAGCUUAAUUGAUGCAAAAGCCAUUGCAGGCUGUGGGGUUCGAACCCACGCGUACUUAUGUACAGAAGAUCUUAAGUCUUCCCCCUUAACCUCUCGGGCAAACCUGCCGUUGAUCAUUGAAUCGCUUUAUUAUAAAUUUACCAUAGGAAGAAUCCAAUUAAUUAUACCAGUCACUAUUUUAGUUUUACAAUCUCUCGUAUCUUUUUAUACUAUUUAUAUUUUUGGUUGAUUUAACCAUUGGAUUUCAUACUCUAUUUACGUAGAUCAUGCAUACCAAAUUUUAAAUUAAUUAAAAAUAUCUACCUAAUUGUUUGAUAUAAUAAAAUUUUGAUCUUAAUUUGAAUAUAUAUAAAAAAAGACAAUAUUCAUAAUUGAUAUGAUAAAAAUAUCGGAUUGAUAAGAAAAUUUACAUAUAUAUAUAUAUAUAACGAGCCCAAGUAGAUUAUUAAUCUAACAGUUGGUUUGCUAAAAUAUUAAUAUGGUACUAAGUUAUAAAAAGAAUAAAAUACUAAUUAAUUGUAUAUUAAUGUAAUUUAAUCCCUCCUCUCUCUCUCUCUCUCUCUCUCUCUCUCUCUAUAUAUAUAUAUAUAUAUAUAUAUAUAUAUAUAUAUGUAUAUACUGCUAAAAGGUGUAAAAAUAUGAACUAGUAAUUAAGUUUGGAGAUGAGAGCUUCAAUUCAUUGACUUUUGAAAAGGGAAAAACAAUUCAUACAUAUAAUAAAUAUAUAUAUAUAUAUAUAUAUAUAUAUAUAUAUAUAUAUAUAUAUAUUAACAUUGUACGACCAAUUAUUCAUGGUUUCACCCGCGAGUUCAGAUCCUAGGAAAUCAAAAGUUAGUGCUCGGUUCCUUGAAUCAAGAAAUUAAAUAUUGAACCAAAAAUCAAGGCGUUAAGAAAUUUGAACUCUAACAUUGUUGUAAUUUAUUAUUAUAAUGUAUGGAAGCUAUGAACUAUGCCCAACCAAUCAUCGAAUUCCCCUUCAAAUAAUCUUCGUCGACUUGCAACCCCAUGUCCUAGGGAAUCGAGAUUCAAGUGAGUCAAUUGCAAGCUGUAAUUAACAAACUAUCACAGUCCCAAAUCAUGUACUUGAUAUGAUUUUAGUAUAUUGGGGGCAUGUGACUGCAUGAUAGUGUUUCAUACAUGCAUAAAGUUUGAUAAAACAAUAGCUUUUUUUGGGUGAAGAUAUAAUUAAUUCCUUAUGUUCUGAAAAAUAAAAUUCAAAAUUUUUUUAUUUGAGAGAAGACGAGAUUUAAAUUCUAUUAAAAAAGAAGAUAAAUCGCAUACCAAUUAUUGAAUCAAAUGUUAAAAAACAAAAUCAUUACUCACUAAUUGAUGAUAAAUAAUUUUGUAAUUUAUUUUGUCUUUACAAGGACAUUUAAAUGGUUAUUGGUAUUUAAUUGAAAUUUUAAUUUGAAGAUUAAAGAUUUAAAGUAUUGAAAUGUGAAAGGUGAGAUUUAUGAGAUUAGAGAUCGGUUACUUCAUUUUAUGACUCAAUUUAUUUAGGUAUGUACAAAAAAAAAAUUCAUUCAAAAAUAUAGUAUUAAUAAAUUAUUGAAAUAUUAUACUAUAUGGCGAUGAUAAGAAAUAUCAUUUAUGUGCAAGCCUUUUAUUACCUUUAAUACGAUGAAAGUUUAUAUUUGUCUUUCAUUAGCAAUAGCACCUGCUGCCAUGGCCACAAGCACUAGGUUGUUGCACUAUAGCAACCCUUUCUUCGUUUCCAUUAUUUCAAUUAUCAUCGUUUAUUUGCUCAUCAAACUAUGCACAAAACCAAAAUCCUCCGUCCACUACCCUCCCAGCCCUCUAGCACUGCCCAUUAUCGGCCAUCUCCACCUCCUAAGUUCCUCAUUGCCCAAGUCUUUCCAAACCCUAGCUCGCCGUUAUGGCCCCCUCAUGCGCAUACACAUAGGCCAAUCUAUCUUUGUUGUUGUUUCAGAUGCCGCUGUGGCGAAAGAGGUCCUGAGAAUCCAUGAGGGUGAGUUCGCUUCCAGGUUUGAAUUUGGUCCAGCUGAGUACAACAUCUACAAAGAUGCUGGUUUCAUCACCAGUCCUUAUGGCACGUAUUGGCGGUUCAUGAAAAAGCUUUGCAUGACAAAGCUCUUUUCCGGGCCACAGCUGGACAGGUUCAACCACAUCCGAAAGGAGGAGAUUAUGAAACUGCUGCAAUCAUUAAUGAAGAGAUCUAGAGAGGGGAAAUGGUGUGAUUUGAGUGCGGAGUUAGCCAGCUUGACCAACAACUUGAUAUUCAGGAUGGCAAUGGGCAAGAGAUUUUCAAAGGAUGGGAAUGAGGCUAACGAGAUGUGGAAGUUGGUGGUGGAGAUAAUGGGGCUUGCAGCAAAGCUAGGAGUCAAUGAAGUGCAUGGUUUGUUGAAGAAAAUUGACCUUUUCGGAAAUGGGAAAAAGCUUAGAGAGGCACUUGAAAGGUAUGAUAGGCUAGUGGAAGAGAUCAUCAAGGAUUAUGAAGAAAAUGGGUUGGAUAUUGGUGGGGGAAAUGAAAAUCUGAUGCAUAUUUUGUUGGAGACUUAUAGAGAAAAGAAUGCUGAACUGAAGAUAACAAGAGAUCAGAUCAAGUACUUCAUUCUUGUGAGUUCUUAAUUAGUUAUAUGCAAUUGAUUUGUAUUGAGCUACAUAUGGUUAACAAAAGCUGACUUUUUUGGGUUGUAUAGUUGCAUUAUUCUAUCAUUAGAGAAAGGAAAUUACAAGUGAUAUAUACACACACGCAACUUUUAUUUAGAUUUCAAAGCCGUUUUCUAGCUAAUUUUCAUUCUUUUUCUUUUCUUAAAAUUAAUUAAGCUAAUUUCUUUGUGUCAAAAUUUUGGUCAAACAAUCUGCUAUCAUAAUCAUUUGUGAGUAAUUAAAUUUUAAAAAUUUAAGUUUUUGAUCCAUUGCUUGAAAACUCAAACUUUUAAAAUAAGUGAGUGGUCUUUUGACUCAGGUAUUAGUUUUGAGAUUAAUCUUGAUAUUUAGUUACUAAUUCUUCUUUUCUGUUGCUUUUUUCUGUUUUUGCAUGCUAUUCCUGUUUUGCUCUAUGAAUUUUCAGUUAAAACUGAUGCUUUUUAAUGUGCAAAAAAUAAAAUCAAACAAAAAAAAUGAAAAAUAAAGUCUAGCUAGCUGGGAUAGUUUGUAUCAUUUCCAUGUAUGAGCCAUAAAGGGGAGAAAGAUAACCAUUUGCAUGGUGUAUCAUUAUGAAGUAUAAAAGAUGAGUAAGACAACAAAUUUGGGAGAGGGAAAGUUAUUUUUGGAUUUGGGAAUGGUACGUUUGAUAGCUACUUGAAUCCAAUUCCACUCUGUUGCUUCGAGCUAGGGAGUUGUUUAACUAUUUUAACCAAGAAUAGAGCAGCAAUUAAUUGUUACUUGAACACCGAUUUUUGGAAAAGAAAAUUUUUUAUUACUAAUUACAGCAAAUAUGUGACAGGAGUUGUUUAUUGCUAGCAUCGACACUUCAUCCGCAGCCAUACAGUGGGCCAUGGCAGAGCUCAUCAACCAUCCGAAAGUAUUCAAGAAGGUAAGGGAAGAGAUUGAUUCAGUUGUGAAGUCCAACAGGCUAGUCAACGAGUCAGACGUGCCAAACCUCCCUUACUUGCAAGCAAUCGCCAAGGAAACCUUGAGGCUGCAUUCUCCGGUGCCUAUAUUUCAUAGGGAAUGCACCAAAGACUGCAAGAUCAAUGGCUUCGACCUCCAGGUCAAAGAUAGAGUCCUGAUCAAUGCUUACGCUAUUAUGCGUCACCCGGAAGCGUGGAGUGACCCGGAUAAGUUUCUUCCAGAGAGGUUUUUGUACAACUCAUCAGGAGAAAACAAUGGUGAAUAUUUGAUGGAAAUCAAGGAUCAGGGUUUUUGGUUCCUUCCGUUUGGGGGUGGUAGAAGAGGAUGCGCUGGUUCCUUGCAUGCUUAUCUAGUUACGCAUGGGACAGUUGGUGCCUUGGUUCAAUGCUUUGAUUGGAAAACCAAAGAUGGGGAAAAGGUUGAUAUAAGUGUUGGGUCAGGCUUUUCCGGCGCAAUGGCACUUCCUAUGGAAUGUUAUCCUGUUUUACGUUUUGAUCCAUUUCAGAAAUGAAAAUGGUAAAAGUAAAGUGGAGAUUUAAAGUAGUAUGUUUCUGAAUGUUCCAAGUAUUGUUGUUGGCAAUGUGAAGUAAUUAAAUAAAUGCUUGCAAGCUCCGAGAGCUUGCAUGGAUUUGGGUUUGGAAAUGUCUGGGUUAUCAAAUAAGGUAUUCCUGGUUUCCUAGGAAUACUCUCAAAAAGUGUAGUAAACUAGGACAUAGGAAAAAUUGUAAGCUUAUAUUUGAUUGGAACACACUCUAUCAUUAAAUCUGUUUCUUUUUUUUUUUUUCUCUUGAAACAGCAUUAAAUCUAUUUUCUGAUGCAAUGAACAGAGUCAUUUGCAUAUUCUGUUUUUUAAGCAUACUCUUCUUGUUCUGCUUGCCAAACCCAGGGUUAGGUUUUAUUUAUUUGACAAUAUUUAAAUAUUAAGCUAACACAUCCAAGAAGAAGGCACCGAGGAGGGGCAGAGGAUUUCUAUUUCCAAAAUUUCUUUAUUUGAAUGAUUUAUCUGGAUUAAACUUUAGGCUCUUAAGUUAAUAAUAAGAUUAUAAAGUAAGAAUAUACAUGGAAUAGAUUAGCACUGGAAGGAGAGCAGGUAUCCAUUACACUUGAUAAUUAAUAAAAUUGUGGUUAAACGGUGGGUCGGUGUCUGUCAUUUCUUGGAUUAACACUGUCUGCCUUGAUAGCCAAGUCCAAUUAUAUAUGUCUGAUACGCCAAGCUCCCCAUAUGCAAAAUUACUUCUCUCCAUCUGCCAUACCACAAUUUCAUGGCGCCUACUGUCAUGGACUACUUCUACCAUUUCUUAAUCCUGAUCAUAUCUACUCUUCUGCUAUGUUUCUUGGUUAAGUCUUUCAGGAACUUCAAGUCCAAAGCCAAGUAUCCACCCAGCCCUCCAGCUCUACCCAUUAUCGGUCACAUUCACCUGUUAAAAUCCGGAUUACCUACGUCCUUUGAAGCUCUUGCCAACCGAUAUGGUCCCUUAAUGCAGAUACGCGUUGGAGCUACUAAUUUUGUUGUUGCCUCGGAUGCAAAAUCAGCUCAAGAAAUAUUGAGAACGUUUGACACUGAUUUUGCCUCCAAGUUUCAACCUGGUCCGACAACUUACCACAUAUAUAAAGACAGUUCAUUUACUAAUGCUCCUUAUGGUGCGUAUUGGAGGUUCGUGAAGAAAUUAUGCAUGACUAAGCUGUUUACAGGUUCACAGCUUGAUCGGUUUAUCCAUAUUCGGGAGCAAGAGACAAGCACGCUCUUAAAAUCGCUGCUGAAGAGGUCUAAAGAAGGUGAGCCAUGUGACUUGGCUGAAGAGCUAACAGCUUUGACAAAUAACAUGAUUUACAGAAUGGCAAUGGGAAGGAGAUGCUCGAAGAAUCCUAAUCAAGCCGCGGAGAUCAGAAAAUUCAUAACAGAUAGCAUGAAAUAUGCGGCAAAGUUUCAUUUUGGUGAAGUGUUUGGUCCUUUGAAGAAAUUGGACCUCUUUGGAAAUGGGAAGAGGCUUAAAAUGAGUCUAAAGGGAUAUGAUCAGCUGAUGGAGCAGAUUAUGAAGGAUUAUCAUGAUAACGAGUUGAAGAAUUGUGAAAAUGAUCAAGAGAAAGAUGUGAUGGAUAUUUUAUUGGAGACCUACAAAGACACAAGUGCUGAGGUGAAGUUGACUAGGGAUCAGAUCAAGAACUUUUUCAUGGUAAUUAUUUCUUGCAUAAUUUCUUAUUUGAGAAGAAUAGUUUCAGAAUAUUGAUUAAUGUUCAAGUUUAGUUUCAGUUGCAGUUGAUAAGCUUAGUCAUAGGCUAAAUCUUAUUAUUGAGUUCAAGCUGUCUUUCAAUUAUUUAGUUAGCAGAAAGCUCAACUUCAAUCCACACUUAUCAAUUUAAGUCAUGGUCGCUAAACUAGGACUUUUUGUCCUUUUGUUUUCCCUAAGAUCAUCUUAUUAAUUUAGCAGCAACCAGGAGCUCUAAUUCAUAGUGAUUUCAAUCCAUUUUUUUUUUCUCUUUUUGUUAUGAUAAUAUCAAUAUUCCACUUCUGCUUUAAGCCUUUGACAUAUCAAAUGUGAUGAUGAGAUUUCAUCUAAUCUGAUCAAUUUCUGCCAUAGGAAACACCAAGGUAAAAAAAUAUUAAUUUCAUUUUGAUGGUUAAUUAAGUUGGGGAGGAGUGACCGUAACUCAAGACCUCCACUGAUUUAUUUCUUUAGAAUAUCAGUGCGUUGUUGUGUUACUGCUAUUUAUCCUAUCAUAUGAAAGCAACAAAAAAAUGCUGAUUGAACAUUCAUGUCUGAUAUAGGAACUAUUUAUGGCUGGUGUGGAUACAACAGCAGCAGCAAUACGAUGGGCAAUGGCAGAGCUUAUCGAUCAUCCCCACAUAUUCAAAAAGCUUAGAGAGGAGAUUGACUCGGUUGUGGGGAAAAAUAGACUAAUCAAAGAAUCUGAUGCCCCAAAACUCCCUUACUUACAAGCAGUAGUCAAGGAAAUCCUAAGGCUACAUCCUCCAGGGCCAUUACUCCGCCGACUUUCCAACAAAGAUAGCAAGAUCACUGGCUUUGAUCUCCGGGAAGGGACUAGGGUUUUCAUCAACGUCUACCAGAUAAUGAGGGAUCCAAAUAUAUACAAGGAACCGGAAAAAUUCCUGCCUGAGAGGUUCUUAGGCAACUCUACUGAAAUCAAGGGUCAGGAUUUUCAUUACCUUCCAUUUGGUAGUGGAAGGAGAGCUUGCCCUGGUGCAUCACACGCUAUGUUCGUGAUGCAUGCAACCAUUGGAGCCCUGAUACAAUGCUUUGAUUGGAAAGAAAAGGAUUUGGAGAAAACCGACACUGAACUUGGGGCCGGUUAUUCUGGGGCAUUUGCACUCCCCCUUGUGUGCUAUCCCAUUACCCGCUUUGAUCCUUUUGAGGCAUAAGUCCAAGAUUUGAUAACUUGUUUUGUGUAAAGUUGUUGAUGCUAGUGCUAAGGGCAAGGAGCUGAUUGGAGCAAAUUAUAUACCUUACCCUAUGAGUUAUGUGUCUCACUUGUAAAUUUUAAUUAAGGGCACAUCAGAAACUGUAAGUUGAGUGAAUUUUUCUUUCACGUCUAUCACUAGAGUUUUAAUUAAGAAGGUCACCAUAUUAAGUUUGAAGAGAUAUUAGUGUAAUUCCGAAAGUUAAUCUUAUACUACAAGGUGCAUUAGAUAAUAGAGUAUAACAAAAUUAAAUUAAAUUCGAAAAAUUUGUUCAGCUUGUUCUAACCUGAACUUGAUUUGAUAUUAAAAAAAAAAAAACAAUCAUACGAAUCCAAAAUAAUCUAAAUAUAAAAACAACUUAAAGUUCAUUGAUCCAAACUCGAAAUAACUCAAAUUUGAUUAAUUUGAAAAAUUAACUUGAAAUGAUCCGAAUUUAAAAUAUCUAAUCAAAUUUAAUUCAAUUACAUUUUAAAAGAAGUCAACAGCUUGAAUUUAAAAUGCUUUUUUUUUUAAAUUAUGCAAUUUUAUUGCUUGAUGCCCAAAGAAAAAAUUCCUUGGACUAAUUAAUACAAAAUACAAAAAGGAAAUAAAAUAACAAAAUAACCCCUAAGAAUUAAGAACCGGAUGUAGGGAUCGGAACCAUCUCCCAAGCCUUAGACACAUCAAACCCAAUCAGAGUACAAAGAAUCCCAAAAUAGUUGAUGUCCUAAAGCAUAAAAAAGGUCAACAACUUGAAUUUAAAAUGAUUUAAAUCUAUAUAAAUCAACUUUCAAAUCCAAAUAAUUCAAAUUUAAGAUGAAUCAAAUUUGAGAUACCCGACUUGAAUCCUAUUUGUCCAAUUGUCACCUCUACUAGAUGGAGUAUAUCAAUAUUACCAAACACAACUAAUACAAACCGCAAACUAGAAAGAGAAGAGUUAAUGCUUCUGUUUUUUUUUUUAAUUUGUAAGAUUUAAGGGUAUGAUUUAUAUUGUUAUAUUACAUAAAUAUAUGAAAGCUAUUAUCUAUUAUAUAUUAUAUAAUUGUAUCAAACUUGAAGACAUAUUACGCACUCAAACAUUUAACUCUUUGGUUGGUGCAUGAUUCCUCUACUUAAAGAGUAUGAUUCAAAUUUUUCUUCCCCAAAUAAAAAAAAAAAACUUAAAGACAUCAUACGGGGAGAUGAGAACAUGAUGAAAAACUUUUAAUUUCAUUUGUUGAUAUUUUUGUUUUUUUGUAAAAUAAUAGAAAAAAUGUAAAAAGUAAAUAAAUUAAUUAAAAACAAAAGACAAAUGUAAAAAUAAAUAAACAAAUUAAAAAAAAAGACAAAUGAAGAAAAACAAAUAAUAAAACCAUCAACCAACAGAGUUUUUAAUAAGUUUCGAUUUUCGGAUUAGUUUAGGGUUUAAUGGGUUGUGGGUUUAGGCUUGGACAAGAAAAAUGGUUUUGGCUUUUGGAUGUUUGGGUGGAUAAAAUUUUCUUUGAUUAGUUCUUAUCGUUUCCUUUGCUCUCAUUUACAUUAAUGAGGGAUAUUAUAGGUCAAAUUUACAUCAGUGUACUAUAGAUUCAUAUAGUUUUUUAUUUAAAAUAAUUACAUAUUUUAUCUAUAAUCUUUAAUAUUGAUUGCUUUAUGUUUUAUUUUAUUUUAUUUGUUUGUCCAUAAAGAGUAAAUAUUAAAAGUACCAAUCAAAAGAAGAGUUAAUUACAAGCAAGAUAUGGUUCAACAGCCCAACAAGCUAGAAGGACCGAAAUCCAAAAUUCAUUUUUCCAAAUCUCAGAAAAUUAUGUAAAGAUCGAAUAAUUAGACGGCAAAUGUCUUAUAUGAUCAUCAUUAAAAAAACGAAGACAUUAAAUAAAUCGAAUAAUGCAACUCUGAUUACAUACGUCUGUAAAGAUUUUCUGGACCACUUUAGACUCCAUGGACCGCUAAUAAAGCUUAUGGUAGCAUAGCAUAUUUUACUCAAUCGUCUCAUUCAUAGAAGAAAAAUUCGAGAAGCUAUGAAAAUAUAUACGAAUUAAUUAAUUAAUUAAUGACCUUAGGAAUUAUUUAAAACUAUUGGCAAUUAUUUUGGAAGUCCAAAAGCUUUUGGCCAAAUUAGUUCCUUUCGUCCUACAUUACAUCAAACUCGAAUGCAUUUUCACUAAGCCAUGCCAACCAGCACAUUAGCCUUACAAUUAGAUUGAUACAUUUCCAUUAUGGCCAAAUCAUACCAAGGGGACCAUGCAUGCAUGACACAUACAAUAAUUAAAUUUUAAAAGAGUCUUUGUAUCAAAAUUGUCAUUUUAUCCAAUUAAUGGUUCACUAUAUCUCUUUUUUUAGAAGAAUAUUUUCCAUUCCGUACCAAAAGAAAUUAAAUACCAUAUCAAUUUGGGACCCAUGUUUCGUCCAAAAAUUUUUUUAAAAAAAUUGGGACCAGUGUCAUUUUCUCUACAGUCUUAAUUAAUUGAUGACUAUGCAACGCAUUGAUUGCGACAACUUAAUUAUGUAAUGCUCGUAUGAGAAAUAUAAAGUUUUCAUGGCACAUCAAAUUAAACUCCAAAUAAAUGAAAAUUUUGCUUGUAGUCAAUUAAUUAAUCUUCUAAUUAUUAAAUAAUGUAGGUACAUCAUGUUUAUAUUUUUCCAAUGGAAGAAGUAAACAAGAUGACGUGUGUGUUAGAAAGAGAAAUUGACAGGAGUUACAUCAAAUUGAAGAAUAUUGUUUUUAUGAAAGGAUUAGCUAUAAUUUCUCUAUUUUAAAAUGAAUAAUAAAGACAAUUUCCUCUCACCAGAAAAGUUUUGAUGUAGUUCUCAAUGGUCAUUUUCUAUCAAGAUUGACAUAUAUAAUAAAUAACAUAUGACGUCGGGACAUUGUAAAAAUACCUUAGUAUUAUGAAAAACAUUAAUCGUGAUGAGGUUAAAAACUCUACUAAGAUAAAUCACUAAUUUUAAUAAGAUUGAAAACCCUACUAAGGUGAAAAAUAAAAAAUUCUGUUAUACAUAUAAUUCUUAAUAAUAAUAAUCUAGUAAUAUAUUUUUGUAUCAACAUCCUUGAAAAAGUUUAAAGUAAAUUACUUUUAGAUUACUUAAUUUUUUUAAAAUUUUUAUUUUGAUCAUUUGAUUUUAAAAAUGAAUAUUUAUAAAUGUUAUUAUUUUGAUUGCUCAACUAUUAAAAGAUAAUAAACCAACAUAAUCAUGUUGUCUUAUCAAGUGACCAUAUUCAAAUAAUAAUAAAAUUAUUUAAAAAAAUUUUUAAAUUUUUUAAAUUUUUUUCUACGUGGACAUAUCCACAUGUCAGCAAUAGUUGAUGUGAAUGGUGUCCAAGUGAUAAGAAUAGUUGACAUGAAUGGCGAUGUAAAAUGCAACCUAAAAAUUAGGGUAAAAUAUUUAGAUUCUCUUAAGUUUUAAUCAAAAUUUAUAUUGAUUGAUUAGUUUUCGAAAUAAAUAAUAAAUUCAAAAAUGUAAACAUCAUUAAUAAAAAAUAUGAAAAAACUAAAAUAUCCUUUUUUUCUUUUUCUUUUUUUUUCUUCAAACAAUGUGACCGACUAAUAUGCUCCCAUUCAUUGGCCGACCACCCCACGGCAUGUGCUCCCCAAGGGAUGAGAGCACUAGAUCUGGUGCUCUUAUCCCUUGGCUUGAAAUUUUUUUGUAAAAAAAAAUAUAUAAUUGUAAUUUUUAAAAGUAAUAAAGGGUAAAAUUAUCUUUUCAAUAUUAUCACAUUAUCAAAUUAAUAUAAAUACUAACGGUUGACUAAUGGUUGGAUCUUUGUGUUUAGUAAAUUUUUUUUUUUGACGGAGUUUCCAUUUCGAAAACUAAUGAACUUAUGUGAAAUUUGGUCUAGAUAUUUUACCCUAAAAAUUAUUAUUUUAUAAGAUUGAGUAAUCAAAAUAAUAAUAUUUAUAAAUAUUGAUCUUCGAAACAUUGUUUUCCAAAAUUAAGUUAUAAAAACAAAAAUUUUAAAAUGGGAUUAUUUUCAAAUUUCAAGUAAUGAAAGUGAGCUUUUGAGAAAGAUGUAAAUAAAUAAGAAAAUCUAUUUGUUCCUCUACACAGUUCAGAGUCAACAAAUUCAUUAGAGAAAUCUACAUUGGUCCCCGAUUAGCAUGCUUAUUUAAAUUUUUUUGUACAACAUGAAUUAAUUAAUAAUAAUUAUAAAAAGCAGAUCAAAUGUAAUUUGGCUAUACAUAAGCCGAAGGGGCUCGAACCUUUAGAUUUGAGUAAUGACACAAGCAUAUCCAUGAUCAAUAUAUAAUAUCGAAUAUUGAAACAAAUAAAGAAAUGAUCUAUAUAUGCUUUUGAAACUGUAUGAAAUAGUGAUAUAAAAAACCAUCUAGGCCUUGAAAUUUGCCAUAGCAACUGUAUUUAGUAGUCUGACUGACCCUAAUACUUUAUUAAUUGCAUUCUAUAUACAAAUAUGGAAUUUAAAAAAAAACCACAUAUUGUUAUUUACUUGUGACAGCUUUAAAUUUCAUCUCUGUUGGAGGAAAAGAUCAUAAUCUAACAUGUAGUAAGUAGCCAUGAAAUACCUAUUUAAAUGUAGAAUAGUGGUGUCUGUGAGUAGAUAAGGUGGGAAAUUAAGUGCAAGAAGAGAUUAAAAAAUUACAUUGAAACUCGCCGAUAUGAACAAGUAGAUCUGAUCAUGAGCCAGGCAAUCAGCCUAAGCCCGCAAACUUAGCUCGUUUUGAUCAGUCUGAGCCCGAGUUUGGCCCAUCAGAUAUUGCUAUUUAUUAUAAUAAAAAAAUAAUAUGCUUUAAUUAAAAUUUGAUUAUAAAAAAUACUUUCCUUGUUUUAAUCUACAAGAGGUUUGGGUGUUUGAGGAAAUAUUUAGACAAGUCCUAAGGUUCAGGUUCUGGUGACCAUGGAAAAGGCUCCAUAAACAAGUCAAUAUUAGACUUUCUAUUAUUUUAUCGCAUGGUUACUUUAGUGGUGUAGGUUAUGCAUGCGCUAGUUUAGAAAAAAACUGAAUAAGUACUACAUAUACAUAAAGUAAACAUCAACAUUAGUUCACAUAGUCCAAACGUGUGGAGUCAAAUGAAUUUCGAAUUCCCUCACCAGAAAGCAAAUUGUUCUACGCUUAGUAGAAAAUACCAUGAUCCUUAUUUAUAUCAUCCCUUCUUUUUGUCACCCUGUCAUAGCUCUUACCAUUAGUCAGUCAUCUUUCAGAAAGUUCGACUAUGUCUGAUUUAGGAGAUCAUGCUAUACUUGUCACUGUAUGCCUAGCAACCAUCGUUUUGUUCUUAGCCAUCUUUGCAAAGACCCGUGCAAAGGGUCGACGACCACCGAGCCCUCCAGCCCUACCAAUCAUUGGACAUCUCCACCUUCUUCGCCCUAUACCUCACCAAGGUCUUCACAAGAUCUCCACCCGCUAUGGACCAAUAGUAUCCUUCUACCUUGGCUCAAAACAUUGCGUCCUUGUUUCCACCCCGGACAUAGCAGAAGAAUUCCUGAAAACUAAUGAAGCUUCUUACUUAGACCGCCCUAAAAUGGCCAACUUCGAUUACCUUACCUACGGCACAUCCGAUUUUUCCACGGCACCUUAUGGACCACGUUGGAAGUUGAUGAAGAAGCUUUGCAUGUCCGAACUUCUGGGGCCCCGGACACUGGAGAAGCUCCUUCCAAUUAGGCGUGAAGAGAUAAGGUCCUUCCUGAAAAUGACCAAAAAGAAAGCUGAAAAAGGAGAGCCUAUUGAUGUUGUAGCGGAACUUAUGACCUUGACAAAUAACACAAUAUCCAGAAUGAUGGUCAGCUAUCGAUGUUCUGGUGAUGAGAACAAAGCUGACGAAAUAAGGAAGAUGAUGAGAGAGAUGAACGGGCUAGGCACAAAGUUCAAUUUGGCAGAUGUUAUUUGGUUUUGUAAGAACUUGGACUUGCAGGGUUUCAGGAAAAGACUAGUAGAAGUUCGCGACCGUUAUGAUACUAUGAUGGAGAGGAUCAUAAAAGAGCAUGAAGAAGAGAGGAGGAAGAGGAAAGAAAUGGGGAACGAAAGUGAUACAGUGAAAGACUUACUUGAUAUUUUGCUUGAUAUUUAUGAAGACGAGAGCGCAGAGGUCAGAUUGACCAGGGAAAACAUAAAGGCCUUCAUUUUGGUAAUGAAUACUUGACGCAAACUCAAGCACAUAGCUAUGCAGAUUUUAUUGUAAUUAUUUCAGAUAAUUUUAUUUAUAUCAAGAUCAAAUAACAUAAUUCCUUCUAAUUUCAAAAUUAAUAGUUUUGAAAUGAAAAAACUGGAGAGUAUACAAAUUAAUUUGUAUGGUUUGAACUGCACAGAAUUUAUUUGGGGCUGGCACAGACACAUCUUCCACAACUAUGGGAUGGGGACUGGCAGAGCUAAUCAACAACCCAAAUGUUAUGGAGAAAGCAAGACAAGAGAUUGAUUCUGUGGUUGGAAAGAAGAGAAUAUUAGAGGAAUCAGAUGUUGCCAACCUGCCUUACCUCCAAGCAGUAGUAAAAGAAACACUUAGGCUUCAUCCAAGUGGCCCAUUCAUUGUAAGAGAGUCAACUAAAGCCUGUGUUAUUGCUGGUUAUGAAAUCCCAGCAGAUACCCGUCUCUAUGUUAAUGUAUGGUCACUUGGAAGGAACACAAAGCAGUGGAAAAACCACCUAGAGUUCAGGCCAGAGAGGUUUCUUAACAGCGAAGAGUGGCAAGGGAAGAGCCAGUGGUUGGAUGUUAUGGGACAGGAUUUUAAUCUUUUGCCAUUUGGGAGUGGAAGAAGAAGCUGUCCUGGAGCUUCACUAGCACUAAGCAUUGUCUCAACUGUCCUUGGUUGUAUGAUACAGUGCUUUGAAUGGAAGCUAGGGAAUGGAGGAAAUGGUAGAGCUGACAUGGAAGAGACGGAUGGAAUGACUCUUCUUAGGGCUAAUGACUUGCUUUGUUUCCCUGUGGCCAGUCUCAGUCCAUUUCCAUCUGUUGAAGAAUAAUACUUAAUCUGGGAAAUAAAUUUGCUGGAGUCAUUGGCGGGAAGCACCAGCUUUGAAGGUUGAAGAAGACUCUCAGAUGCAAAACAUUGAUAUUCUCGACUUAAGAAGCUGGUUGUCCAACGCUUAUAUCUUGAGUCGUUUUAUUGUUAAAUGAGUGUGCCUAAAACGCUCUUAGUUGUGUCGUUUAGUUUUGUUUUGUACUUGGUGGUUCUAUACGCACCAUUAGAGUGCCGUUUUGAUAUUUCUUUUAUUGUCUGUUGUAAGGCCAAUGGCCGUGUCUGUUUCUUCUUCAAUUUACUGUUGAGCCACUCCUUGCUUUGAGUGCCGCUCCUUCCUAGAUCCAAUUUAGUCUCUAUAAACUAAAAUCUAGGAAAUGUUGUUAUUGUUGAAGUAUAAAUACAAAUAUGAAAAUGAGAUCCAUGCUUUUUGGAUCAUAAUUUCUCUUCUCAAAUUCUCUUUGUUUCUUUUGCUCUGUUUUUCUCAGUAUUUCAAAUUUCUCUCAUUCUUUUCCGGAAAAGCUUUUGUUCAUCCUUUCUUCACCAUCAAUCUGAUUAAUCAAAAUGUGGUUAUGUCAUGUAUUAUAUGCUUUUCUGUUAGAAACAUUUGCUGGACAUGUGUACACCAUCAAUCUAAGUCCAUGUAUCAAUGCUCAAAAGUCUUAAUUCCUCUGCAAUCUGGAUGUUUUUAUGUUGAUGGUAAUAUUUAAGUUGACUGCACAAGAGUUUGAGAAGACUAUUAUAUUCUAGAAUAAUGUAAAGUGUGCUACAAUGAUCCAAUAUACACGGUCUGGAUAAGGUGCUCAAAAUCUGCAAUCUGUAUUAAGAUUACAUUUGGUGAUAAAUGCUAUCAGUUUGUUUGAUAUGUAACUACUUUCUUUCAGUGAAGCAAUAUCAUCUCUUAUCGGGCUAAAGCUUAGCUUGUUUAUUAUACUCUCUUUUUUUUUUUUUAAUUUUCAAUGAGAAAAUGAAUCUUUCUUCUCUCCUAGCAGAAGCGGUUAAUUCUUUUACAUCCUUAGGCAGCCAACUGUGUUUGACAGGGGAGAAUGAGCAUAGUCCUGUUUCUUGAAACGUGAAAGUACCAAUCAAUUAAAUUUUGAGGGAUACAGACUGCUAUGUUUUAUGUUGCUGCUGGAGUAUAAUGGCAAGUCUUUAAACCUGAAUUUUUGUAUACCAAAUGAUUGAAUUUAUUUUUGAGUGUUUUUACCUUCUUUUUUUUUUUCUAUUGCAACAGAAGCAGGAUUUGUUUCUCCUUUUCCAACGAGUACUUCAUUCUGUUUCUGGUGGCUCACCUAUUUUAAAAUACUGUAACUAAAAAUGUGGACAUGAAGUGUCUAGCCACCCAUUUGUAAUUGUCAGUAUAUUCAGUGUUCCCAAGGUUGUCAUCCAUUAGAAAAGAGAUUUUCCAACCUCUCAUGGUUUCAUCUUCCGUUGCACCCUGCAACAUCUUAAAGGAUAUAUCUUUUUAUCCCCUGUGAGAAUCCAAUAAUUUCUUGUGGUUCAGGUACUGUUAGGAAAUGUAACAGCACUAUAGUCU
rnacentral:lncRNA from 1 species